rnacentral:lncRNA from 1 species
UCCUCUUCCUGAGCUCAUCACUCUUGUUUAAUUAUUAUUCCCUAAUAGAAAUAGAUGCCUGUUGCCCUUGACGAGGAUCAACAUAGUCAUUGUUUACUCUGCAAGUUGAUACAGGCAUAUAGUCAUUGUUUUAACAAGUUAUAUACUAAGAUUGGUGUGAAUGCUUCAGGUUAAAAAGAAGGAAAGCUACGCAUAGUUGCUACUAUUGUUUCAGAAAAGACGUCAACUAUACAAUUCCUAUUCUUUUUCUCUAAUCUAAUUCAUAUUCUACUUCUCUAAUCUAUUUCUCUAAUCUAAUUCCUAAUCUAUUUCUCUAAUCCUAUCCUAUUCUAUUUACCGGGGGAGAGCGCUUUACCUGCAGGGAAUGGCUGGUGGCCCCUCGCUCGGCGGUGUAGGAUGGCGGCCCGGUGGUGGAGGGUCGCGGCCGGAGGGGCGGCGGCAGUGGGGCGCGGCGGUGGGGUGGUGUGUAAAUGUGAAAUGAGGUCAGGGGUGCGACUGGCUAAGUCAAAUGAUGGGUAUGACGAUUGCCGUAGAUCUAGGCACUCGGCAAAGUAUUGAUAUUCCAAGUGUCCCAGAUCUGGACACUCGGCAAUAUUUUUUUUAAUUUCCUUAACACCCCGGGCGAGUAAGUUGCCGAGUGUCCCCUUUAAGACACUUGGCAACUCUGCUUUUUGCACCUAGAGAACACUCGGCAAAAAAUAAUUCAUAUUUAAUGCUACACCUUCCUCCUUGUUCAUUGCAUGUUCCACUAAGUUUGUUACAAUGUAAUUUGAUAAUACCUUGUAAAAUUCACUCAACAAUGCAUAUUUAAAUUUUCUACAUAUAUAAUUCCAUUAUUUCAUGCAAUUUUAGCUCAAAUUCUAUUUAUAUCAAUUAAAAUUCUAUAAUUUUGGUUAAUUAAUUAAAAUUAUCAAACAGAUCCAAAAAAAUCCCAAAAUUUGACAUGGACCGAUCUAUAUUGUCUAUUGGCUAUAGAAAAAGUUUUGAUGUCAAACCCCCAAUUCGACCGUCACUUUGACUCCAAAUCUUACCAGAUCCAUCUCAACUUCUUGAUUCUUCUUCAGAGAUACUCCGGUUUGUAAGCGUCGUACGUGACAAAUUAUGUGAAACCUUCUAAAUUUUUUACCACAGCCUCCAUGUAUGAUAUCAUGAGAUCUUGACAAAUCUCAUGAUUUUCAGACUUCAUUUGUUUUUUUAGAAUUUAAAAAUCAUUGGGCCACACGUUCAUGGUCGUGUUUCCUGAACAAUAUGUUCAAAUUUUCUUUUCAUUUCCCGGGCAAGGCCCCAAAAUAGACUCAAUAACAUGAAUAUGAUUUUUCUACUCAACUUAUUCCAUUAUUUGAACCACUUGUAGUUCAAAUUUGACUUAAACCAAAAAAAUUCCUCUAAAUGCAAUAAGUUAAUUAAAUAUAGCAAACGGAUCAAGAAAUAUAUAAAAUUUUAACAUCUAGUACCACAUAGUAGAAAAAGUUUGGAGGGCAGGAGAGGAUAAAAUUAUUAUUUUGCCGAGUGCCUAGGGAAAACACUCGGCAAAGGCAUAAGAAUGCCGAGUCCCUAAGCAGGACACUCGGUAAACCUUAUCUUUGCCGAGUGUCACUAACGGACACUCAGCAAAGUAAUAACGGCCGGCACGCCGUCUGAUGAACAUCGCAUGUGCCUGUCACGUGCUGGAUAGUUGCCGAGUGUCAAUUUGCCGCCGAGUGUCUUGUCGAUUUUUGCCGAGUGUGUUCUUUCUGACACUCGGCAACUAAAUUUUAUGCUGAGUGUAAUAUACAUGCCGAGUAUUUCCAUGGAGACACUCGGCAAAUGACUAUUUUGCCGAGUGACUAAUAGAAUGCACUCGGCAAAGUAAAAAACACGGGACAUAUCUACUGUUUCCGUAGUGUUAGUUAUUAUUAAUAAUUUUAUUUUACAUACUUUCAUAUCAUCCUAUAGCACCUUGUCCUUCAAGAAAUGGUAAAUGUGCUCACACACGUAGUAUCUACAUAAAUUAUUCUUUUUUUCCUAUCUCAAACAUUUUAGUGAAAAAAUAAGUUAUGAAAUGUUCGUGUUAUAGAAUGUAUACAAUGUGCAAACUCAAUCUAUAACCUUUGCACAGAGAUGAAACACGCAGCAGAGCCGGCGGGUGCAGUAUUUGCUGAAUACUACAAGGACUAUAGAGGCUUACUACCUUCAAGGCAGCAGGGACGGCCUCACCUAUGGCCGUGACCUCAAGGAGCUCCCAUCAGUCGUCAUCACCCUCCUCUUCCUGAGCUCAUCACUCUUGUUUAAUUAUUAUUCCCUAAUAGAAAUAGAUGCCUGUUGCCCUUGAGGAGGAUCAACAUUCUUGGCAAGUCCGAUGGAUCCGCCCGUCGGGUAGUGAUGUUUUCUUCUGUUAUAAGAGAAGAGACUCCAAACUCGAUCGUCAACAAAGUCCAAUCUUGUUCGAUCAACGUACCAACUUCCACCAGAAAACAAGCAGUACAAUGGUACAUUCAGCUGGAAAGACUCUCUCUGCCGUCGUCCUGCUCGUCGCCAUAGCCGCCGUUGCGGGUAAGUAGAUGUUGCAAAGCCGCGAUCGAUGUCGUUUGAUCAAUCUUCAAGGCUAAAAGUUGUUCUGUUGCAUAAAUGAACGUUCAUGCCUGCACAGGUCGGAUCCAUGCAGCAGAGUCGGCGUCCAUACAGCAGAGUCGGAUCCAUGCUCCUUGCAAGGAUCACCUGAGUGCCAAUUAUAAAGGGAUGUGCCUUGCAACGAUCAACGACACCGAAUGCAACCGUGUAUGCUUAGCCGAAAGCAGCGACAAUGACUUCGGCGCCUGUGGCCUUUUCCAGUGCUGGUGCCAAAGCAGAUGCACCUCUGAGACUGUUGCUGCUGCUAGCGCUCCGACCCUCGCCUGAACAAACCAUCCGAUCCAUGCAUAUCAUCCCGGCCCGGCCCUGAUGUAAUAAAAAUAUAUAACACCGUAUGCUUGCAAGUUGUUUGUUUUUUUAGUAAUCUCACUGGUGGAACAUCCACCUUUAGUCCCGGUGGAAGAGAGUCAAAUCUCUCGAAUAUCCAACCGGGACUAUAUUUUGGGACUAAAGGCCUCCUUUAGUACCGGGUCAUCCACCCGGGACUAAAGAUCAUUUUAGUCACCAACUGGGACUAAAGGGACUGUCAUGCAUGCACGUGCACAUGAACCCUUUAGUCCUAGUUGGUAAUAUCAAUCAGGACUAAUGCACCCAUUUGGUUUUAGUCCCGGUUGUAAUGGCUCCAAAAAAAUCCUACCGACGCUCUUCCCUUUUGUCCUGGUUGGAAAUUCCAACCGGGAUAAAAGACCCCUUUUGUCCCCGUUGGUAAUUUGAACCGGGACAAAAUAUUUACUCCUGGUUGGUAAUUUUAACCGGGACAAAAGGGUUCCAAUUGGAAUUUUCAACCGGGACAAAAGCUGCCUUAACACGUGCCCCCAUCCUUAUCUUUCUCUCCUCCUCCUCUCCCAUUCUUCCAGGCACCUUAUCCUCUUCCUUCCCUUUCUCUCCUCUCCCAUUUUCUCCAUGUUGGUGGCCGGGCCUCCGGCGAGGCUUAGCGGCGUCCGGCGCGAGUGAGCCGUGGGCGGUGAAGGCAAGGAGGAGGCAGCGUGAGUCUGAGCGGUCGCAGGCAGGCGGCGUGGAAGACCUGCGCGGGCAGUCCCAUUUUCUAUUUAUUUUUUCAGAAACUUUUUAGUCUCGGUUGCUAACACUAACUAGGACUAAAGGAUAGGAUAUCUUUAGUCCUAAGUGAAUGACCCAGGACUAAAGAUCCCCCCUCAUCACAAAUUUUUUUAUCAUGGUUGGACAUUGGAGAGAGUUUUGAGGGCUACCAUCCGGUACUAAUGCUCAGUUUUCUACCAGUGCAUAUAGGCAUUUUUAAUGACAUGACAUACUAUUUAUAAAAUGAGACAAGAAACUAGUUUCAUGGUGAUGAAACUAUGUAUACACUGUUUCCAACAUAAAUUGUGCGUUGCAUAUAGUUUUGGAAACAGCAAAAGUUGAAACAAUGCAUUGUGUGACGUAUUUCAGCCAAACACUAAAUUCUCUCUAAUCCCAAUGGAGAGUUUCAUUUUGAUGUUUUCAAGAUAGCCACAUAAGCAACAUGAAAAUGAAAUUGUAUUUGAAACUACCUCUACAAUGUAAAAUUUCAUGGUGUAGUUUCAUAUGCACUACAUGCAAGACACAAACUGUGUUGGUAACUAUGCAGGCAUGGUUUCAUCUAGAUGAAACCCCUCUUACCUCUCUCCUCAUUAACUCACUGCCACAUCAUAAAAAAUGCUGACAUGGUAUCAUAAUUAAUGUGUAUGAAACCUCUAUGAAACUCCCACUGGGAUUAGUCUUAUGUGGCAUUCUUGGAAACAUAAAUGUGAAGCCUUGCACAGAAUGUCCAAGAGACAGGUGAAAUGGAUUUCAUAGGGAUGAUACCCUGUAUUCACUAUUUCCAAGGUAAAUUGUGUGUUGCAUGUAGCUUAGGAAAUAACAAAGAAUGAAACAAUGUAUUGUAUGAAGCUAUUUGAAUCCUGAAUUAAAUAUUCUUUUCGCUUAUGUAGCAUUUUGGAAACAUAUAAAUGCAAAAUCAUCCAUUGAGAAUGACCUUAGUACAAACCGCCAGUCAAUCUAUCCCUUAACACUUAUUUCUCUGAAAGGAAAAGGUCCAAAUUACUAUGCUUCUACUAGCAUGCCUCAUUGUUAACUUUAUUGUCUUCCCAUUUUUCUUCUCCCGCGUCGUUCUUCACUUCGACUGCCUCCUUUUUAUCCAUGAAUUUGUCAGAUUCCUAUGCUUUUGCAUCCUCCACCUCAACUGAUAUUGCCUCCCCUUUCUCCACGGAUUUCUUUUGCUUUCACUUCCUCCUUCACCUUGUCCGGGACUGCCUCCUGUUUCUCCAUGAAUUUCUUUGCCUCCUUCACAAUUUCUUUCCCUUCCUCCUUCACUUUGACCGUGAAUGCUGCCUCCUCUUUCUCCCUGGAUUUCUCCAUCUCCUCCUUUGCUUUCGCAUCCUCCUUCACCUUGUUCGAAACUGCCUCCUCUUUGUCCAUGGAUUUUUCUGCGUCCUCCUCCUUUUUUGUUUCCUCCAUCACCUUUGCUGCCGCGUCCACCUUGGCAUUUUUCAGAGCCACCACAAGACCUGCCAAGCACACUCCAGGAUCCUUCUUCUUCGUGGACACGGGCAUCAGGUUACGUUCUCAGCAACAUCCGCCGGAGACAUGUCGAUCUCCUCCAAGAGCUGAUGAUGUAUUCCUCAUGCCACAAAAGAAGACUAAAAUGAAAUAUUUAACAAGACCAAAGAAGUCUAAUAUCAUUAAACAAGUUUGCUUGACUUGCUCAGACUGAGCUAACAAAUGAAAGGCCCAUAAAGUGAAUCCCUCACUGUUUCUUUGGCUUUUUCUUGGCCAGUUUUGGGACAUCACUAUCAUCACUAUUGUUGGAAGUCUUCUUGAUAGGCUUCUUGCCUCCAGGGGGAGCCCAUGCAUUUUUUGAAGUUAAGAGCCGACUGAUUCAAAGUUGCUGGAUCAAGCUGACAGAAGGACUCACCAAGGUUCUUGAUUAUUAAAGGAGAGAGUGAUGGUGGAUCCACUGAACACCCAAUACAGCUUUUAUUCUUGCACCCUACUGCCUUGAAUCCUUUGCUAUGAUUUCUGGCCCUGUUGCUUCUUCUGAGUUCCUCAUCAGAAAGUGGGAUUCCUUUCUUUGCCUUUCUUGGUUCCUUCCGAUGUGCAGCCUGCUCAAGUAAGAUCUGUGACCAAGGGCCAGCUGAGUUGGAUACUUUCUGUAACAUAUCCUCCAAGGGAGUGUCACGCGACUUCACUGGGGUAACAGGUUCUCCAGGCUGAGUGGGCUUUGGGUCCUUGGAUGAACUUGCCAGCUCCUCAGCUGGAGUCCCUUCAAAAAUAGCACCUUUACCUUUAUCUAAAGUAUCCUAUUGACUGGAGUGAGAGAUGGAUCCACGCUGAGUACUAGACAGGGGGCAUUUCUUAGGAAGGCUGAACUGCAGAUGAGGCCCCAUUUGGAUGUACUGCAGAGCUGCAGAUGUUAGGAAAUUCUUGGCCCACAUGAAAUUCAGAGGAUUCAUCAAUUGGUCAGUAAAAAAUGGAGCCCAUGUCAGGGGAAUAUCCACCUGAUGAGAACUAGAUCCUGAAGCAAAGUAGUUUGCCCACUAACCAAGGAUUUCACCACUAGGCUGAUUCAUAUGGGCCAUUCUAUCAGCUGAGAUUUGGCUGAAAACUGGAUCAAUAACAGGCCCAAUAACUUUUCAGCCCCAAUUUGCAUAUCACUAUUACCAUCUGGUUCAUUUGCAUGUUGUUCCUCUUGAAUUUGAUUUGCUCCUAGCAAUUCAUUUUCCUAUAUUUCAUCCUGAACCAUGUGAAUUGGCACCCCAUUCUCUUGGGGGAUAAAAACUUGGACAUCAACAGGUUCAGGGUGCAAUAGAUUCAUAGCUGCAAUUCCCAUUGAACUGUCAGAAGAGUCUGUAGCAUCAAUUACCUGCACAUUCUCAUCUGCCACUUGAUGUGCUUCUCCUUCUGGGUCAUGGACCAGAUGCUCCACUUCCCCUGGCCCCCCUUCAAAUGGAACAUUCAAAUCAAAAUCCAAUUGCAUACCACCAUUGAUGCAACUGGAGGCCCUUGGGCUGGCAAGGCUUGAAUGAAUGGUACAUUUGGAGGCAAUUGGGGUCCAAUAAAAGGUGCAUUAGCUUGUGUUGCAGACCCAUUUGGCCAAAGACCCCACUGUGGAGCUGGGCCAUCACCCUCAUGCUGAUUGUUAACUGGAUUGCCACCCCCAGCAUUAGCACCAUUAUUUGGUUGACCAUAGCCAAAGAAGUCAAACAAGCCUGGGUUCAUUUCAUUACCAUCAGGAGGUUGAUCCUCAUCUCCAGGCCCAGCCCCCAACAGUCUAUGCUGCAAGAUUUCUAUUUGCACUGUCCAUGAAUUUCCUUCAAAUUCUUUUCCUUCAGAACAGACAAGGAACCAAGGUAUUUAUGAUAAAUCCACGACCCUUACUUUGGCAAUAACACGAGCAAGAUAAUUUGGAUCCUCCUCCCAUACAAUCAGUUUACCAAACUCUGAAACCGCCUUCUCAACAGCUGCUUUGGUCCAAUAGUCUAAAUUUAAGCCCAGAAGCAUCACCCAAGCCUCACAGUUCAUUGUGACUGACCUAUUGUUCCAACCCUUAUCAUGUUCUGAAAAUGGAAUCGUAUACUGACCAUAGUCAUGUGCUCCUCCCCCAAUAAGAAAGUCCUUCUCAUGGACAUGGUGAAAUCUAACAUAUGCUUGACUGAAGGGGCAAGGUUGUAUGGCAUGUAUUCCAACCCUCAUCCUAUUCCUUAGGAAAUCAUCUAGCAACUCACGGAUUGAUUGAAAGGAUACCUGUUGAGCCGGUAAAGGUUCGAUUGUAGCAAUCGCAAUGCUCUUGUUGUUCAACCUUGGUCUUCCCAUCAUCACCCUUGUCAUCGGUUUCCGAAAUCCCACCAACUGCCGCUGACAACCUCUUGGGAGAAAAGGCGUAGGAUCGAUGGACCUAAACGCCAUAUUCGCUUCAGGCCAAGAACACACGAGGAACGGGGGAAUAGCAGACACAGAGCAAAGCUGAGACUCCGUCACACAGCACAGAGAGGAAUGCGGCGUAGGAUUGUGAUUUUCCGGUGGGUGUAAUGCAGUUGCGGUGGGGAUUGGAGGGAUUUGUGCUGCCGGAGUAGAGGGGGAUGUUGUAGGCGACGCCAACAAGGAAGACGAAGGGGCCACUCCAGUAACUGCGGAGGCCUUCCAAAGAACUAUUGUCUCUAGUACUGUAUGAGGAACACCCAGAACCAAAGUACCCAUGUCUUGUAGACUCUUAAACAAUGGGGCCCCACUUGAGGAUGGCCCAGUAGUCAUUGACCUUGUCUCGGUAAACCAAUUGUCGACAUUACAAAGUUUCCAGUCGGCCGAAGACACAGCAGAAGCAAAAAUCCUCUCCUUGGAAAGACCCGGGAAUCGAGGUGGGAAUCGGCAACGACGAGAUACAUGGCCCAAACGAAAACAACUGCCACAUCGGAUGGGCUUGAAACAAUCUGCCCAUGAGUGGGCUGUGGAGAGACAACAAGAGCAAAACACCCGGCCCAACUGAUGACCAAAGGACUUCUUCUGUCUAGACAAAGAUGGCGCCAAUUCCGCAGUGGAGUUAUUUGCCAUAGCCUCCCCUGAUGAUCGCCCCAGAUGGAGGCGUAAAUCAAUGUCCUGGAGUUUUGAAUUUGAAUUAUGUAGACCCGAAACUCCGUGUUCUUCGCCAGCAGCGAAGAACUGUGAAAACUAGCAGAUUUUUGAAUCUAGAGCUGACGAGAAUGAGAACUAACCGGCCGAUCCAGUGAACCCAGUCUUUCUGAAGAAUGGGGAAAAUGGCCAACCGGAACAGAAUUAGCACCUGUGAGCAGGUCAGUAUCUGACUGUUGAAAGAACCUCGAGGAGAACCUUGGUUUUUUGGGGGAGACUUCUUGCCAAGGAUGAUGAGUCCCUUGUUCUUUUGCUAAAGCCAACUUUGCAAAAUGAAAACCCCAAUCAUUCCAUAGAUUGAAAACCACCUUGAAGCUCUCACAAGUAAAGAAUCCCAACUUAUAGAUCAAGAGCCCACUUCUUUUGAGGAGACACAAAACUGGAAAAUCCAGUCCUCCAACUCGGAAAUCUCAAAGAGAGAAGCCGAGCCUCCAAUAACCGAUUGCAGAAGCAGACCCACAUUCUCCAAAGAAAGCUUGAAACGGGAACGAGGAAAAGCAGCCAAAAGCUAGAACUUGGAGGAAGACGAAGGCAGAGCCGAAACUCUCAAACCAAGCUGGGAGCGUACCUUCGCCUAGAACGUGAGUCCUGGUCUGAGAUCCACUUGAGGAGAAGCCAUAGGACCAGAAGAGAAGAAAGCACCACCAGGAAGAACGGAGUGGACGAUGGGAACGGGUGUUCACUGGCGGGAGGAUUGCCACCGGGACCAGAGGGUCACCGGCGAUAGGCUCCCGUGCCUCUCAUCUUGCUCUUACGAAUCAUUAUUUGGGCCACAAAUUUGCAAAGGUUUCUUAUAACUAGUUGGAUGGUGUUUGAAGGUUUCUUAUAACUAGUUGGAUGGUGUUUGAAGGUUUCUUAUAACUAGUUUGAUGGUGUUUGACCCUACCAAUACUCCAUGACGUGCAAAUCCCCACGCCAGAGCGCUGCCGCUUUCCCGCUGCUACUUGAGGUGCUCCAUGACUACUUCAUAGUGGGAUAAAUUAAUGUGCACAGGAAGAUGACAGGUUAACAGCUAAUUAACAUGCAUGGGCUAUCCCUACCAAUCCUCCAUGACGUGCCAAGGCAUGCAUACCCGCCUCUGCUCCCAGGCUUGCCAUCACUGGUCAUUCAAACAAUUGCACUAUUGUUUAUUGCACCUAGUAAUUACUUAUUAACUAAAGUAGUACAUCUUAGUUUACAUUUUUCUAUACAGCUCUUAGCAGCAAGCGUUGUCACCACUUUCCAACUGCCCCACUGCUUUGCAUCAUUUAGCUCCACUGGCACAUGGCAUGUCAUUGGCUCGAGAGAAAGCUCCAUGCUAGUUUGUUUGAUAGCUCACAAUUUCACAUCGAUCGAGAAGAUGGAGAGUUGUUUUCUGUGCUAGUCUCGGUGUAUGCACGUUCUUCUACGUGGGGAACAAAAAACUGAAGCACAAGUAUGCACGCUGGUUCCAUGUGUGCCCGUAGAAUCUCGAGGCAAAACUACCAAGAUGCUGACUGACCUUAGCGAUUUAAUUACUAUAUAUGCAUGUCAUCACCAACCUAAAAGCCUAUAUGUCUGUUCAGAACUCUGAGGCUGAAUAAACUGGUUCAUAUCACCAAUAUCUGAAGCAAUUUGCAUAACUAUUUACUGAUCUCAAGCGCUAAAAGUACUCUCCAGUUUCCAUUUACACCUCCGCUAUUGCAUCGUUUCACCCUGCUCUUAUCAAGGUAUGUUCUUGGAUAUGUAAAGCUUCCUGGCCUCCAAUUAGUAAAGAAGGUGUUCAGAUUUUUUUUUUCCUUUUGGGAGAAAAACAUAAUUUGCAUUUAGACAUAUCGAUUCAAGAGAUCCCGUGUUCAGCUACUUUUUAUAGUUCUAUUAGCUCUGAAAAUUUUGAUUUACGGUAAUUCUUCUUGUCAGUUACUACCUGCUAAGCCGUUCGAGUUGUGUUGAUCAACAGACAACAGUGCUGUCAAUUAACUUUCUAAAGUUUUCUAGUGUCUCCACUUUUUGCAGGAGUCAACGAUUGAUCUGUUGGUUUUCGGUGAUCGUGUGGUAGUCCGCUUGUUUUCCGCUAGAGAAUUCAUUUUCUCGAUGCUCGAGUGAUGCCGGUAAAAGGAGGAACAGAGAGGAUGCUUCAGUAGGAACUGCUCCUUGCGUUUUCAUCCUCCUCUUCUGUCUCUGCAUCAUAUCCUUUUAGUUUCGUAAGCUCGAAUUCAACAGUUAAGCCAUAACGAUUCAGUUCAUAAUCUUUCUCCUCCUAUUUCAUGCCUGAUUUGCAUGUGUUGAUUAUGCGCCACUUCAUUUUUCUUUCUGGCAGAGAGAUGAUUGAAGAGUGAAUAGAUCCCGUGUGGAAAAGUGACACAACGAAGAUGAAGGUUCUAGCCAGGAAGUGAUGGCUCUCCAGUUUCCAGCUACCCCUCUGCUGAUUUGCGUCCUUUAGCUCUGGUUUGCUCUGCCUCUGCUCAGGAUAUGCUUUUUGCUCUGAUCUGGUUUGCUCUGCUCAUGGUUUGCAUCAUCAUUACCAUAAGUCUGCUCAUGGUCAAUCAAACAAUCAUAGAAGAGCUUUCUUUUGCAUCAUACCAAAUGUUGUCCCAAUUUAUUACAUCAUUUUAAAGCACAAAAUAAAAGGUCAGAAUGCUAACUCUUUAUACCUCAUACCUCACUGUACUACUCAUUUUUGUUAAGGAAAAUAGAACGGAAAACAAUAAUAAUAAGGUGGCCCAGCAUCCUGGAUAUUUAUUAACCUUACAUUACAAAUCAAUACUAGUAUAUGUUAAUCUUUUUCAAAACACAAUUCAAUUUUUGAAAACUGUCAUUUUUUACACCAAGUUAACGCAUUUGCACAUUCAUUGCCAGCCUGCAACUGGUUUGGUGGAUCUCCCUCAACGUCUUUGCAUUGUAACAUGGCAACCAUACUAGAAUCUUUUGUUGGAUCAUGUGUUACGAAGUUGCAAGAGAUAGUUACAGAGAAGGCCAUACUAAUUUUAGGUGUAAAAGAUGUUCUCAAAGAACUGCAGAGAAGGAUGGAGAGAAUACAUCAAUUUCUUAAUGACGCAGAGCAAUGGAGCUCAAAAGAAUCAGACCAUAAUAAUUGUCUUGGUCAGCUCAGAGAGGCUAUGUAUGACAGUGAUGAUAUUAUCGACUUGGCUAGAUCUAAAGGAAGCGAGCUAUUACCAGAUCAUUCUCUGUCAUUAUCAAGCAAAUCGAAUACAUGCAGUGGCCUUUCACCCUUCUCUUGCUUUUCUAAUAUCCAGACGCGUCAUCAGGUUGCUGUCAGGAUUACAAGCCUAAACAAAAGAAUAGACAAUAUUUUAAAGGAUAAAGUAAUUUCGCCUGUCCCAAAUAUACAAGCUACUAGAAAAGGUUUAGACCCGAAACUGAGAAAAACUUCCAACCUUGUUGAACCCUACCUUGUGGGUAAGGAGGUCAUACAUGCUACAAGAAAACUAGUGGAUUUGCUACUUGAACAUAAGGACAAGAGGUCUUACAAGCUUGCAAUAGUUGGAAUAGGAGGAGUUGGUAAGACAACACUAGCACAGAAAAUAUACAAUGACCGAAAAAUAAAAGGGUGCUUCAACAAACAAGCAUGGGUUUGUGUCUCAAAAGAUUACUCUGAAAUUACUAUUCUAAAGGAGAUUCUUCGAAAAAUUGAAGUACAAUACAUGCAAGAUGAGUCAAUUGAUGAGCUCCAAAGCAAGCUGAAAUCAGCCAUCUAUGAGGAGAGCUUCUUUCUUGUGUUGGAUGAUGUUUGGGAUUCUCAUACAUGGACAAAUCUAUUGAAGGUCCCAAUGCAUACUGCAGCCACAGGGAUAAUUCUAUUAACGUCUCGACUUGACACUGUUGCUGUAGAAAUUGGAGUGGACUAUACACACCGAGUUGAUUUAAUGUCAGUGGACGUAGGAUGUGAGGUACUUUGGAAGAGCAUGGACAUCAAUGAAGAAAAUGUAGUAGAAAAUUGUUGGGGCUCGUCUAAACAACAGAUAAGGUGAAAUAGUAAACAAGGACAGUGACAACUCCAGCAAAUGUAACAGUAGCUAUCCUAUCAAUGAAUAGUGCCUGUUUUAAGGGGGACGGUUCACCUCCCUUUAUAGGGUCAUAAAGUUACAUUUUCGCAUUCCCGCUAUACCCAUACCCAACAACUACAUCCCGGGUAUAUCCCGUACAAGACAGUAACUUGACCCCUACUCAGGAUGUCGCUUUCAAAGUGGGAUUACAUUUCUGACCCUUUCCAAGAUUCUUAUUACAAAAUCAACCCACAGCAAUGUGGUCCUAGGGCUGUCUUGAUCCCUUUCUUCUCUACUCGUUAGCUUCGUCAGGACUAAGCACGCUUCCGUAUGCUUUCCACCUUCACUGGUCGAAGUCAGCUAACCUCGGGUUUUGGUCACGGGACCUACCCGAAGUCAAGUUGCCGGGAGCUCCGUGGGGGCUUUAACUUCGGGAAUCUUCGCCUGCAAAAUCACAGAAUGGGCAUCUUCGUACUAGUUAACCUCGGUUAAUUGUUAGCUUCGUAAAAGAGUAAAAUGACGAGGUCAGCGUCGGUGUCGAGGAGAGGUUCGCGCCAGCUUCAUUCAAGGCGCGUUGUGGGGCGGUCCCCAACAAAAAUCUGCGAGAAUUAGGGAAAGAUAUUGUUCGCAGAUGUGGUUGUCUUCCUCUUGGAAUUAAGGUUAUUGCUAGAGUUUUGGCAAGAAAAGAUCAAACUGAGAAUGAAUGGAAUAAGAUUUUAAGAAAUGCUUCAUGCAUGAGCAAACUUCAUAGUGAAGUACAAAGUGUUUUAUAUCUAAGCUAUGAAGAUCUACCACACUAUUUAAAGCAGUGUUUUGUGUAUUGUGCCAUGUUUCCUGAAGAUUCAGUUAUUUUGCGUGAUGAUAUGGUGAGGAUGUGGGUGGCUGAAAGGUUCAUAGAUGAGCAAGAUGGCCAACUACUAGAAGGUACAGCUGAAGAAUACUACUAUGAGUUGAUAUAUCGAAAUCUCCUUGAACCAGAUUAUUCAAUGGCUGAUCUUAGUAGAUGCAGAAUGCAUGAUCUAAUAAGGCAGCUUGCUUGUCAUUUAUCUAGAGAGGAAUGUUUUGUUGGUGACCCAGAAUCAAGAACAGGUAGUGUUAUGAGUAAAUUUAGACGUAUUUCAGUUGUCACUAUGAAGGAUAUGGGGUGUUACCUAGCAUAGAUAAGGAGCAGUAUAAAGUGAGAACUUGGAGGACCAUAUGAAAAGUCAUCAAGAGUUGAUAAUACAAUAUUUAGAAAACUUCAAUGUAUUCCGAUUUUGGAUUUGACUAACUCCAUUGUACAAGGUAUUCCAGAUUGUAUUGGAAGACUAAUUCAUCUACGGUUACUUGAUCUUGAUGGAACUGACAUAUGUAGUCUUCCUGAGUCUAUUUGUUGUCUCAUAAACCUUGAGAUACUGAACUUGCAGCGAUGUAUUGCUUUGUAUAGUCUCCCUCUAUCAAUAACUCGAUUAUGUAACCUGAGACGCCUUGGUCUUGCUGAAUCACCAAUAAAUCACGUUCCGAAAGGGCUAGCUAAACUGAAGUUCCUCAAUGAUUUAGAAGGAUUUCCAGUUGGUGGUGGCAGUGAUAAUAGUGCUAGAACACAAGAUGGACGGAAUCUAGAUGAGUUGUGUCCUCUUUCUCAGUUGAGGAAUCUUGAAAUCAUUAAGUUGGAAAGAGCAUCUCCUUACAGUACAGAUUCAUUGUUACUAGACAAAAAGUUUCUCAAACAAUUAUCUUUAUGUUGUACAGAACAUACAGAUGGUCCAUAUUGUGAAGAAGAUGUAAUCAAUAUUGAGAGGACUUUUGAGAAGCUAAUCCCUCCACGAAGCAUUGAAGAUAUAACGAUUGAAUGUUUUUUUUGGUCUGAGGUUUCCUACCUGGCUAGAUUCUGAUACCUAUUUUCCAUCACUGAAAUACUUGGUUCUCCAGGAUUGCAAAUCUUGUGUGCAUCUUCCUGCAAUCGGGCAGCUUCCCAACUUGAAAUAUCUGAGAAUCCAGGGAGCCACUGCGGUUACCAAAUUUGGAUCCGAAUUUAUUGGCUGUGGGGUGAGUAAUCAUGGAUCUGCAGAGGCAGUUGCUUUCCCCAAGCUUGAAUCGUUGGUCAUCGAGGAUAUGCCCAACUGGGAGGAGUGGACUUUUGUAGUUGAAGAAGAAGAAGCAAUAGCAGCAGGUAAGGAAGGUGGAGAGGAUGGAGCUACUGCAAAGAAAAAGGGGGAAGCCCCACCUCCAAAGAUGCAGCUGCUGCCUCGUUUGAAGAACCUGGAACUUGUCAAAUGUCCCAAGCUGAGAGCUCUCCCACGGCAGAUUAGACAACAGGCCACCAGCUUGAAGGAGCUCCUAUUAAGGCGUGUGGGCAGUCUAAAGGUGGUGGAGGACCUCCCGUUCCUCUCAGAGGAAUUCUCUAUCGUUAGGUGUGAAAGCCUGGAGACGGUCUUGAAUCUUCCGAAGGUGCGACAGCUGUGGGUAUGUUGCUGUCCAAGUUUAAAUCGUGUGGAGGAGUUGGACAGUUUGGAGCAGCUGUGGCUGGACGUGGAUAUGCAGGACCUAACUUCUCAGUGGGUGUCUGGGCUUAAACAACGGCGCCAACAACUCCAUGGGGAAGACCUGGAUAUCUACCCAUGGCUGCACAGUAGAGCCGCCACAAAGGUAUGAGCAAAACGGAUUUGUUGCUCCUUAAUUUGUUUGGUUGUCCAUCUUGAACUUGUGGAUAUUGGUCUUCUGUAGGAAGGAGGGCUGAUGAUAAAGUGCAACGAUCAAGAUGAACUGACGUAGGUGGUUGGGAACUGAGAGAUGGAAAUCAGGAGGACCUGCAUGCGAUGCACUGGUAUGUUAGCUGCAUGCGAUGGAGAGAUUCUUGCUCUAAGGUUGGGUCUAUGAGAACCGGGAAGGGUUCAUGCUAGCUACUGGCGGAUGACUGUGAUCAAGAAUCACAGCCAUCAAGAUGCACUGAUGUGGGAACACAAGGAGAAGGCUUCCUCUCUUCUUUAGCCCAUGGGAAGGCUUAUUUAAUCUUGUUCAAGUGUGUUUGGCUAUUCUUGUGUGCAUGUAUGAACAAAAUGUGUGCUACUUACGUGAGUUUCUCGAUUAAUUCAUUCUGUGUGAUGGGAUUGUAUUCCUUGUACUUAGCGAACUUGUAAUCAUAUCUUGGCUGGUGCCUAUGCCGCUGCUCCGUCGUCAAUUUGUCACCUGCUCUUUCACUGUGAUGCGAUUACAAUUUGUGACUGGAUUUGCACGAGCAAAUUUCCAUUCAAAUACGUGCAGGUAGAGGAGGCACGAGUCGUCAUUAGUCAAUACUUAGGUAGCUGCAGUUAUGAGCAUCUACUGAAACUCUGUUCUCUUGGAACCCUGCUUGAUUCAGUACCAACACAAGACAGGUAGCGUGGUGGCUCUACUACAGAUGAACCUCUGAACAUUAAUUUCCUCUGUUUCUAUACAUCGUGCAGUUGUUCAACAAUAAGAAACCAACUAAUCUCAUGAAUAAAAUCAUGAUGCGACUUAGAAAAAGAGCUGCUCCGUCCAGAGCUAUCAAGGAAAAGAGCUGCUCCAGAGCUAUCUUGAAGCUUUCUCCUCCAAAUGCAGGGAGGAAUAGAACAGAUAAAACAUGUGGUUGGACUUUUGACUAAGGUGAACGAUUGUUGACUAGGAAGGCAUGAGGUUGGACGUUUCAUUAAUUUGGUCCGCUAAAAGAAGAAUUAUUGUUGACUAAGAAAACAUGAGGUUCGACCUCACAUGGAAUUUGUCAGGUCCAAAGCGCCAGUUUCAUAUGUUCUCCAUUCCAGAGGAUCGGAGGCUUUGGUCAGUUUUGUAUUCAUUUCUCUGCAAAAGAAAUGUUUGGUCAGUGAACAUAUGUAACUACCUUAAUAUAUGGUGUUUUUUUGGGAGAAAUAUGAAAGCCAAGGUAGUUGAUGUAUAGUGGAUAGAAUUCUAGGUUGAAAAUGGGCUUCCAUUUUGGUUGAAUGGAAAAGCUAUUGAUACAGUGGUUUCAAAAUUCUAGGUCCAUGAAUGGGUUAGUACAGAUUUUAUAAUAUUUACAAAUAGGAUCCAGUUGGUAUGGUCAUGACCUACAUUUUGAAACAGAAGGAGUAGAAUGCAAGAAGCAUAUGUGCACCCUAGAAGAGAAUUAGGUCGCCUUUGGUACGGAACUAUGAUACAAGUAGCGAGAGACGUCCCGUACGUGAUUUUGUUGUUGUUGCACGAUUCAUGAAUGCAUCAUAGAAGUAGCAAGAGACGUCUCGUACGUGCGUGAUUUGCUGUUGCACGACGAUUCGUGAAGAUGCAUGGACCAGCUGCAUCAUCAAACUGAGAACAUGAUAUGUGGAAUAUGGAUCGAGGCGGCGGCGCGCGUGUUGAAUGUGUUCCGCCUGCAGGCCGCAACGACGUGCUUGAGAACAGCACGCGUGGCAGUAGCUCGAUCAGCUGUCCCUGUUCAUCACGUACGGCCGGGAAACUGGAAUUCCAUCUUGUAGAUUCGUCAAGGUCAUCGUGGCGUUUCUAGAUUCGUCAAGGUGGCGUUUCUAGCUAGAUUCGUUUCAUCUUUCAUCAUGCAAUAGCACGCCCAGAGAGUGAAUCAAGGCAUGUGGAGUGAAUAUUCGGGAGUUCCGGGAAAAUAAUAAUUAGAGAAAAAUUACAAAAUUAUCCUUAGAACCUGUUUGUUUGGGCUUUUCAGCAGCUUUCCACCUUAAGAAGUCGAAAGCUCAAACAAACGACCGUACCAGCUUCUGGGCUGAACUUUUCCAAAGCCAAAAGCUCAUAGAAGCUAGCUAUGAUUACUCAUAUAUCACCGUUUAUGUUGCGAACCGGUCAUUUUUCUUUCCUCGACUCUAUCUCCAUCUGUGUCGUCUCCCUCUCCUCCAAUGCACCGAGCCAUGACCGGCGUGCACCCCUCUUCCUGCUGGAGCAAACGACCAUCACCACAACGAUCUCCACACCAAGCUGAAGCCCCACCGUUGCUCCUUGAUGUCUCUCUGUCAUCGAAGCGCAGCCGCCCAUGAAGGACCACAGGUAGAAAACUCGGCAUUAGUCUCAGUUGGUAAGCCUCAAAUCUCUCUAAAAUCCAUCCAGACUCAAAUUUUCGAGACAAAAGGGGGUCUUAAGUCCCGGGUCGUUCAAUUGGGACUAAAGACCCCCUUUAGUCCUGGUUGGUGCCAGCCGGGACUAAAAAGUUUUGAAAAAAAAACAUGCCCGGCUGCCGGGCACGCCACCGGCCGCCGCCGGCUCGGCCUCUGCCCGCGCCCAUCCCCCGCUCCACCUCUAGCACCCCCGCGCCCAACCUCCAACUCCACCUCCCCCACGUGCCGCAUCUGCGCCCUGCCUCCCCACCUCUGGCCUCCGCCUCCUCCGCUCGUCGCCACCCUCCCUCGCCCUGUUAUCGCUCCUCACUACCAGUGGGGAGUGAGCAGAGGGGUAGAAAGGGGAGGGGGCGGCCACCUCUUUCGGAGGGAGAGGAGGUGGAAGGAGAGGAGGAGGAAGAAGAAGAAGAAAGGGAGAGGAGUAGAACAAAGACUUUUGCACCGGGAGAAGAUAAGGAGUUGUGCGGUUGGAGACCUGUGAGGAUAAUUAAUGUGGAGAGGGGAGUGCGGGGAAGGACGUUUUGUCACGGUUGGAGCCAUCAGCCGGGACAAAAGACUCCCUUUUGUCCUAGUUGGUAAUUCCAACUAGGAAUAAAUCUUUUGUUCCGGUUGGAAUUACCAACCGGGCUAAGGGGGGCGUGCCAUAUCUUUACAACCAGAACUAAGUCCCUCCCAUCGAUGUCCUUUUGGUGCCUCAUUUUUUACCAGGGAUUAAAACCACUUUAGUCACGGUCCAAAUAUUAAUCGGGACAAAAGGGGUGGAUGGAAGGUUAGUUCUUUACUAGUGGACCGCGCCAGACCGGAGCCAAGCGUCGCCGGAGCUCGCCUGGCCAAUUCACCAUGACCGUCGCCUGUCCGAGCCAUAAGAAGACGUUGCAAGCUUCUUGAAGCUGAGCUGCACCUGCUCCGCCGGUUGAUACCAUCGAUUCCCACCUAGAGGAGCCCCACCGCAUGAAGUUUGAAUUGGCCCCUGUCUUCACCGCCCGCUGCCAAUUCCAGCCAUCUCUGUGAGCCUCCCACCUCGGUGAGCACUUCCACAAGAUCCCUAUAUAACACAACCCUAUAUAACAAAAUUUAAGUAUCUAGAAAAAUUAAAACGACCUGCAUUUUGAAACGGAGGGAGUAGAAUGCAAUGUAUUUUGAUGAAACGGAGGGAGUAGAAUGCAAUGUAUUUUGAAACAGAGGGAGUAGAAUGCAAGAUGCAUGGGUGCAACCUAGAAGAGAAUUGGGUCCCCUUUGGUGCGGAACUAUGAUACAAUUAGCAAGAGACGUCCCGUAUGUGAUUUUGUUGUUGCACGAUUCAUGAAUGCAUGAUAGAAGUAGCAAGAGACGUCUCGUACGUGCAUGAUUUGCUGUUGCACGACGAUUCGUGAAGAUGCAUGCAUGGACCAGCAUCAUGGAACUGAGAACAUGAUAUGGAUCGAGGCGGCGGCGGCGCGCGUGUUGAAUUCGUGUUCCGCCUGCAGGCCGCGACGACGUACGUACGCGUGGCAGUAGCUCGAUCAGCUGUCCCUGUUCAUCACGUACGGCCGGGAAACUGGAAUUCCAUCUUCUAGAUUCGUCAAGGUCAUAGUGGCGUUUCUAGAUUCGUUCCAUCUUUCACCAUGCAAUAGCACGCCCACAGAGUGAAAUGAAUAACCGGCUGUGCUAUGGUGUGCACGAGUGGAAGAAAAUUAGAAAGUCCGAUUGCAACGUUACUGUGUUACUUUUGUUACCUUAAUGGACGUCAAAUCUGCAGCUUGAAGAACAGGGAAGGUAAUGCAUAUACACGGCAGGACAUCGGGAACAAGAUAUGCAUAUACAAGGGAGUUCUGGGAAAAUAAUAAUUAGAUAAAAAUUACUAAAUUAUCAUUAGGAGUAGCUUUCCACCCUAAGAAGUUGAAAGCUCAAAUAAAUGACCAGUUUAUGGGCUGAGCUUUCCAAAAGCCAAAAGCUCAUAGAAGCUAUGAUUACUUGGAAAGCUCAAAAAGUAGUGAAAUGUGAGCUUUCCGCAACUUUCUACGUCAAUGUCGCGAAAAUUACCCACCUGCCAUCGUUUCCGUUGCGAACCGGUCAUUUUUCUUUCCUCAGCUCUAUCUCCAUCUGUGUCGUCUCCCUCUCCUCCCGUGCACCCGAGCCAUGACCGGUGCGCGCCCCUCUUCCUGCUAGAGCAAACGGCCAUCACCACGACGAUCUCCACGCCAAGCUGAAGCCCCACCAUUGUUCCUUGAUGUCUCUCUGUCGUCGAAGCGCAGCCGCCCAUGAAGGACCACUGGUAGAAAACUCAGCAUUAGUCCCGGUUGGUAUGCCUCAAAUAUCUCUAAAAUCCAUUCAGAAUAAAAUUUUCAAGACAAAAGGGGGUCUUAAGUCCUGGGCCAUUCAAUUGGCACUAAAGACCCCCUUUAGUCCUGGUUGGUGUUACCAACCGGGACUAAAAAGUUUAGAAAAAAACCAUGCCCGACUACCGAUGGCGUGCGCCGCCCGGAUGCCGCCGGCCCAGCCUCCGACCGCGCCCGUCACCCGCUCUGCAUCCAGCACCCCCGCGUCCGACCUCCAACUCUGCCUCCCCCACGUGCCGCAUCUGCGCCCUGCCUCCCCGCACCCGGACUCCGCCUCCCACGCACGUCGCCGCCCGCCCUCGCCCUGCUGUCGCUCCUCACUGCCAGUGAGGAGUGAGCAGAGGGGGAAGGGGAGGGGGCGGCCACCCGUUCUGGAGGGAGAGAAGGUGGAAGGAGAGGAGGAGGAGGAGGAAGAAGAAGAAAGGGAGAGGAGUAGAAGAAAGACUUGUGCGCCGGGAGAAGAUAAGGAGUUGUGUGGUUGGAGACCUUUGAGGAUAAUUAAUGUGGAGAGGGGGCGUGGGGAAGGACGUUUUGUCACGGUUGGAGCCGUCAAGUAGGACAAAAGACUCCCUUUUUCUCGGUUGGUAAUUCCAACUGGGAAUAAAUCUUUUGUCCUGGCUGGAAUUACCAACCGGGACAAGUGGGGUGUGCCAGAUCUUUACAACCGGAACUAAAACCCCUCCGUCGAUGUCCUAGCAUGCCACGUGCCUAUGCAAGGCCAAGCAAGACUCGUAGCGGCGAGUCGCACACGAAGCAGCGAGCCACGCUUCGGCCAUGCCGAGCGGACGGGUGCCCUGCCGGUGGGCGACAUGGCGACGGGCGGGACGAGCAGCGACGUACGGGCAACACGGGUGGUCGGGCUUUUUUUAUUAUUCUUCAAAAAGCACAGAGAGCCAUUUGAGAUGGCUCAAAGUUGUUGGCGGGUGCUCCGCCCACCAGCACAGAGCCUAUUUACUCGCCAGCAAAAAUCAUUUAUGGCCUAGUGCUCCUUCCUUUUCAAAUUGUAAGUCGUUUUGACUUUUUUAUAUAGAUUUUACUAUGUAUCCUUGACAUAACUUUAUUGUUAGAUGCAUAACAAAAUCAAUAUACCUAAGAAAGCUGAAACGAUCUACAUUUUCAAACGGAGGGAGUAGAAUGCAAGAUGCAUAGAUGCAACCUAGUUAGAAGAGAAUUGGGUCUCCCUUGCUACCGAACUAUGAUACAAGUAGCAAGAGACGCCUCGUACGUCAAGAUGCAUCAUGAAACUGAGAACAUGAUGGAUCGAGACGGUGACGUGUGUGUUGAAUGUGCUCCACCUGCAGGCCGCGACGUACUUGAGAAUAGCACGUGUCACGUAAUACGUGUGGCACGCACUAGCUCAGCUGUCCCUUUUCAUCAGUGCCUAGCCUGACUGUUCGUAGAUUAUUCGUCAAUGUCAUCGUGGUGUUUCUAGAUUCGUAGAUCAGUAGGCUCUCCGAUGCACGCGAUUUCAUCUUUCGAAGCACAGUUCUUGUGUCGAGUUCUUGUUUUUCACAUGCACGAGUUGGCGAGAGUGAAUCAAGGCAUGUGGGACGAUCCAUUCGGAGUAGCAGUAGUCCACGUGGAAUUAAUCAAUAAUCGGCUGUGUUAUGGUGUGCACGAGUGGAAGAAAUUAAAAUGUCCGACGUGAUUAUAGUGCAGAAACCAACCUAGCAGGAAUGGAGCCAACAAUGACGUGUCCUGUGCAACACUAACGUGUCCAGGAAGAUGCAGUCCAGUUGACGCAGCCAAGAUGGACCAUUACACGAGUUGAUCCAUUGUUAGCUAGCCCACUCGCUUCACUUGCAGCAACCUCUAUAAAAGGAGAUCAAUACCGGAAUAGACCACAAGUCGUUAACUAAGCAUUGCAGCCAGUUAUUAGCAAACUAACAUCCAGCGUGUAGGAUGGCUGCAAGCAAGGCUAACAAGGAGACAUGCGGCGCCUUUGAACCUUGUUUAUGGGGCGACUUCUUUGUGAAUUACACUUCUACCUCAUCACAGGCAUGAAUCUAUGAUUUUAUUGUAGUUGACAGCAUAUUAUAUAUAAUAUUUAGCUCUUUAGUUACAUUGUAUUGUAUAACAAGCAGGGGUCGGAGGAGUGGAUGAGAGAGAGGAGGGAGCAACUCAAAGGGGAAGUGUGCCGGAAGUUUGAGGCUGGAAAAGCCAUGAGCGUGGCCGACACGGUGAGGUUGGUGGACACGCUCGAACGCCUUGGUAUAGAUAACCAUUUCGUCAAGGAGGUUGAGGAGGCCUUAGACCGUGUUCACGAUGAGGAGCUGGACUUUGGCAGCUCCAAUGACUUGGAUGUUGUUGCCCUCCGGUUUCGUCUUCUUUGGCAACAUGGCUUUUGGGUAUCUGCAGGUAAUAGAAAUCAAAAGCUACCAAAAGCUGAUCAGUUAUGAUCGAUCACUAUUCUUUCACAUGUUCCUCUGUUUUUCUCCUUUUUUUCUUGUUGCCACCCUAUAACCUAUAUACGUUGAAAACUGUUUAUCAUACAGUUUUUUUUGUUAAGAUUUAAUUUGAAUAUAUACAUAUGUGCAUACAGAUGUAUUCGACAAAUUCAGAGAUGACGACACCGGUAGUUUCAACAUAAAUCUAAGCAAUGACCCGAGGGGCCUACUUAGCUUGUACAAUGCUGCUCACAUGGCGGUACCUGGUGAGACGAUCUUAGAUGAUGUUAUCGCCUUCACUAGGCGCCAUCUUGAGGCUGCAAAAGGCAAGCUUACAUCUCCUAUAAAGGAACAAGUUUCGCGUGCCCUUGAGAUUCCGCUCCCUCGUUUUAUGCGGCAACUAGAGACCAUGCAUCAUAUCACUGAGUAUGAGAAAGAAGAGCCACACGACAUCAUGAUGCUCGAGCUUGCAAAGAUUAACCUCAACCUUCUUAGGAGUGUCCACCUCAAGGAGCUUAAGGACCUCUCACUGUAAGUUGAUACAUAUAUUAGUUCUUUCACCCUAUUUGUUCAUUGUUCAUUGUCUUCACUAACAAGGUGGGUCAACUAACUAAUUCCAUGGGAAGAUGGUGGAGGGAUCUCUAUGACAGUGUGAAGCACUUCCACAGCUUUGGAGUGUUCCAUGGGGAGGAAAGCUCUGCUGCGCGGAUCAUACUUACCAAGGUGUUUGGGUUGUUGGUCCUGAUUGAUGACACAUUUGAUGUGCGCGCCACCUUUGAGGAGUCCCAAAUGUUAGAUGAUGCCUUACAAAGGUAGGAUAAUACCUCUAUUAAUUAUAUGCUUUUUGUAAAUGAACAAUCAAGUUUUAUCGUAUAUAUAGCUCACUCAUAAUAAUAUGUAGAUGGGAUGAGAGCAUGGUUUCUCUUAUAUCAGAAUACCUACGCAUGUUCUACAUCAAAACAUUGAGUAACUUCAAUGAAAUGGAGGAUACUUUGGAACCGUACGAGAAGUACCGCAUGGCUUAUGUCAAAAAAGAGGUACCUUGUUAUCUUAUAGUCAAAUAGUCAACUAACAGCUAUGAAACUUUAUAGAAACAUAACAAACAUAAACUGUGGUUUAGAUCUCCUCCCAAUUUUAUUAAUCCCACCUUAUUUGUGUACAAUGUUUUUUUUAUUGUGCAGUACCAAUUGCAAUCAAAAAGUUCCAUCCAACAGGCUAAAUGGUUCAAUGAAAACUGCACGCCCAGCUUCAAAGAACAUCUAGACGUGUCACUUAUGGCGACGGGUUUGCCGUUGUUGUUCUUCACAGCUCUAAUGCGUGCAGGCCAAGCGAUAAACAACGAGGCAUUUGAGUGGGCACUUGACAUGCCUGACAUGUUUUAUGCCAAUAUAGAAGAGUGGGUCGCUUCCUCAAUGACAUUGCUUCUUACAAGGUAAUAUAUCGAGUUCAAAUAAUAGUCUAUCUAUUUUUAAAUAUUUGACACCAUUACCUUUUCAUUCUUUUGACUAUUCAUCUAUUUUAUAAACAUAAACAUAAACAUAUGAUGUACGAUUAAAUUAGAGCACUUUUGAUGAGAGGUCUAGUGUAGCUUAAUUAUUUCGCUUUACUUAAUGAAUUAAUUCAAUAAUCACCUUAGAAUGUAUUUGGAUCAUGGAGGUAUUUAUAAGACCACUGUUGUUAUUUUUAUUGAUAACAAAUAAUUAGAAAAACAAUGGACAGACAUGCAGUACAUUCCAAACCACUUUGACAUCACAAACAGCAAAAAACCUACUACUUGCUUGUAUUGCAUUGGAAAAAUAUGACAUCAUAAAGAGUACUAAUUAAAGGAUUUAAUACCGGGUGGAGGCUUCACCCGGUACUGGAGGGUCACCUCUAAGUACCGGUUGGAGCCACCAACCUAUACUAGAGGACCUCUGCGGAAUCCCAAACUUGAAUGUGGUACUAAUGCCCCUCUAGUACCGGGUUCAAAUGGGACCGGUACUAAUGAUAGGGAUAGAAGGUCAUAUUUCUAGUAGUGCCGGAUGGAUCUCUAUGUUACUGCAUAUGCACACACCUAACAUCACAAAUACACGUAUCUUUGCGCGCAGCAAGGGAAGUGCGAGAAGGAUGUGGCCAGCACUGUGGAGUGCUACAUGAGGGAACACGGCACGACCAGGGAAGAGGCGGUGGCAGCGAUCGCCGGGAUGGUGGAACAUGCGUGGAGGAGGAUAAACAAAGCUUGCAUAGAGGUGAAACCUGCAGUAGAGCCGGUAGUGAGAUGUUUGCUGAACACGACGAGGGUGCUAGAAGCCUACUACCUUCAUGGACGGGACGGCCUCACCUAUGGCCGUGACCUCAAGGAGCUCAUCACCUUCCUCUUUCUCAAGGACGUCCAUGUCUAAGUUUGUUACUUGCAUCAGUACAACAUAUAUAUACUGUACUGCAUAUAUAUGCUUGUGUCGAGAAAAAUAAAAAAAUGGUGCCAUAUAAUAAAAACAAAUGGAUACAUUUUAAGGGUAAGUAAUUUAUUUUCUCUUAUUUGUAUUUUAUUUAUUUUAUUUUCAACACAUACUACUCAGUUUGAAAGACAAAUAUUAACCAAAAGAUUUAUGAUAACAAAAAAAAAGAUAGCAAGUUUAUGAGAUGUCAUACUAGGGAUGCCGUAGCAUCUAUGAAAUGCACACUACCCUAAAAUACCCAAAUAAAGAGAUUAUAUAAAAUAUACUUAAUUUAAACUAAAAACAUGAUUAGAGCAUGAAAACAAUAUUUGAGCUGAACUGGCCAAACGAUUUCUCAAGGACAUGCCUACUGGUCAGAUCAAGAUGCUGCAAAAGGACAUGAACAAUAGAAUGGAUAUGCAGGCAAAGCUCGCAAUGAUAAUGUUAGGGAGCAGGUGCAUGCCAUAGAGAGGAACCAUAACAAUAAGGCAAGAAUAAUGACAUGCUGAAGCCUAAGGUGAGGCGGAAAGCACAAAAUAAGACACUACUACAAGGUAUGAUGGUGCAAUAAUUAGUGUAGUUGCUGAGAAUUACAGUGGGAGUAUAUCAAAGCAAAAAACCUACACAAAAACUGGAUUGUAGCUGAUAAAAAAUUUAGUAGGAGAGCAUCAAGUCGGUCCGUUCAAGAUGUCCAUAGGCUUUAGAUUCUGAGCUAAACACAGUAAAAAGUGACCACUAUGAUAUCAAAUAGCAUAGGUCCAUGGAUCAGAUGUGCACCAAGAUCUUGAUCAUCAAAGAGAAAAUUGGUUUGCUCAAGGCACAAGAAAGAAGAUGGUACAAUGAUGUAGUUGCUCAGGAAGAUAACAGGAGAAGAACAGCUCAAAAAAAAACCCUACUACACAUGUACUUCAUCACUAUGAGAAAAAUAAGACAAAUGUCUAGAGAGAAUAAGUUGCAAGUUGUUAUUACUUAUUACCAAUUAGUAUGAUAGCUGAAACCAUAUUGGCCGCGCUAUUAGCACUGAGAGAGUCUAGAAAUUUCCAUGUUAAUCGAAAAAAAAAAGAAUAUUAUACUUCAUCGCAGAGGCAAUAUAUUAAGGGAUUUUUUGUCCGCACCACAGCAUGCCAAAUGACCAUAGUGUGAUUUUGUGAGCAGCACAUCUCACUCAUCAAUUUAGUCUAUGAGACAUUGCGAAAACAGGUAUUUGUGCGCAGCACAUCGUCUCCAUUAAACAAAACAUUUUUUCUGGCUGAAAUAACAUAGCGCCCGGAGCCGGUGACGACGACGGCCAGAACGAUGAAGAGGUCGGCGCAGAUGCCGCAAUGGCCCACUGCGCGGCCGUAACCUUCAGGCGGAGUUCGAGUAAGAUGCAUGGCAACAAUGUCUUCAACACGCUCCAGGACAAUCUGGGGGGGCCUUAUAUUCAAAAAGAAUUGCUUUCACUGCAUUGUAGCCAUACCAAAUUGAAAUUCCAAGGACAACUAUAGAAGACACAAUAUAUACAAAACUGGGCAUUUGUCGUUUUUGGCUUUAAUCAGAUGGAGCAAACUAUCCUUCUCUUUCACUAACGUAACCUUUGAUUAAUUAAGCAAUGGCCAAGAUAUGCUAGUUCUCUUACCUCUUGUAUAUAUGCAGGAGCCACAGAAAAUGCUUGCAGCAGCGCACAAGUGCAAAGGAGCACCAGGAAUGCAUGGCACUUGCAUUCUCCAGCAUCCUUGCAGAGACAACUUCAGUUCCGGGUGAAUUGAAAUGUUAUUGAUCUAGGAACACGUGCUAUCGGCCAUCCACCCUGCUCUGUUAUCUGUCAUCGCCAUACGGCCGAUCGGAUCUGUUUCGAGUGUUGUCACGUAGCCUUGUAUCGGUUAUUCUCUUAAUUUCCUUUACAUUGCUACACGGUCAUCAUCGGGCUCCUGCCGGUCACCUUUCACCUGCCAUCGGCGAAUCGCUCGGCCGAUACGUCACCGGAGCAGAUCGGAAACCCAGCCGAUCGGCUCUUGGCAUCUGACACGCAUUCUUUCCUUGUCAAUCAACAAGUUAGAUUGACUAGCACGCCGCGCGAACCGCACUAGGGCGAAACCCGAACAUGAGCUAAGCAGAUUCUCCCGGAUCGUGUGUCCGAUGCGAGGAUCGGACGAGCCGUCCGGUUUUUGCGCCAACGGAUGUCUAAUCUCAUCUAGCAUAAUUUAAACUGUGCUGGUUGUUAAAUUAUCUUAUUAAGGGGUAAAGUAACUAGACAAAUUAUACAAUUUCAUUCCAUUUUACUGUGUUGGUGGGCCACAUAAGCGCCCGGCAACACAAAUAGGGAGCACUCUGCUGGUGGGUGCUUAUGUGACCGGCCAACACAGUGGUCAUUGUGCUGGUGGGUGCUCCCCUACCGGCACCAAGAACCUCUGUGUUGGUGGGUGCUGCCCGCUAGCACAGUAAUUUGCAUGUGCCACCACAAGUCGAUUCUGACAUAGUGCGUGUUUUAAUUAAUUAUUAUUCCCUAACAGAAAUAGAUGCCUGGUGCCCUUGAGGAGAAUCAACAUUCUUUGAAGUCCGAUGAUCCGCCCGUCGGAUCGUCAUGUUUUCUUCUGUUAAGAAGAGACUCCUCGCUCCAAACUCGAUCGUCAGCAAAUCUGCUCGUUCAAUCUUGUCCGAUACUACCACCAGAAAACAAGCAAUAUAAUGGCGCAUUCAGUGGAAAGACCCUCUCUGCAACAUUCUUGGAAAGUCCGAUGGAUCCGCCCGUCGGGUAGUGAUGUUUUCUUCUGUUAUAAGAAGAGACUCCUCGCUCCAAACUUGAUCGUCAACAAAUCUGCUCGUCCAAUCUUGUUCGAUCAACGUAGCAACUUCCACCGGAAAACAAGCAGUGUACUAAUGGCGCAUUCAGCUGGAAAGACUCUAUUUGCCGUCCUCCUGCUCGUCACCAUAGCCGCCGUUGUUGGGGGUACGUACACGCGUGCACAUGCAUCAACUACUUACAUGUUGCAAAUUAAGCCGCGAUCGAUGUCGUUGGAUCAUCAAUCUUUCUUUAAGCUAAAAGUUGUUCUGUUGCAUAAAUGAACGCUCAUGCCUGCAUAAUCCUGGUUCUUUCACCUGGAACAAAAGGGACCUUUGUCCCGUUGGUAAUACUAACUAAAUGCUUAUUUUUUGAAUUCUUUUUUACUUUUAAUGCUAAUUAUUGUUUCACUUACACAGACACGCAUGCGUACGUAUACAUCCAUCGCAUGCACUACUUACACGUAUACAUUCAUCUUGUAUAUAUGCAUAUCAUAUAUAUAUAUAUAUAUAUAUAUAUAUAUAUAUAUAUAUAUAUAUAUAUAUAUAUAUAUAUAUAUAUCAUGAUAGCGUAUGCAUAAUAGUUUUAUUUUACGUACUUUCAUAUCAUCCGAUAGCACCUUGUCCUUCAUGAAAUGGUAAAUGUGCUCACAGACGUGGUAUCCACAUAAAUUAUUCUAUUUCUCUUGUCUCAAACAUUUUAGUGGAAAAACAUAAUUUAUGAAAUAUUCGUGUUAUAGAAUAUACAAAAUGUGGAAACUCAAUCUAUGACCAUUGCACAUAGAUGAAACGCGCAGCAGAGCCAACGGGCACAGUAUUUGGCCUUCAUGGCAGCACGGACGGCCUCACCUGUAGGAGCUCUCAUCAGUCGUGACCUCAUCACCUUUGUUUUGGGAAAUAGAUGCCUCACCUAUGGAAAACACUAGGAGACCCGUGCUUUAAUUAGUUAUUAUUCCCUAAUAGAAAAAGAUGCCCGUUGCCCUUGACGAGGAUCAACGUUCUUGUAAAGUCCGAUGGAUCCGCCCGUCGGGUAGUGAUGUUUUCUUAUGUUAUAAGAAGAGACUCCUCGCUCCAAACUCGAUCGUCAACAAAUCUGCUCGCUCAAUCUUGUUCGAUCAACGUACCAACUUCCACCAGAAAACAAGCACUGUAAUGGCGCAUUCAGCUGGAAAGAAUCUCUCUGCCGUCCUCCUGCUCGUCGCCAUAGCCGCCGUUGGGGGUACGUACACACGUGCACUUGCAUCAACUACGUACAUGUUGUAAAGCCGCGAUCGAUGUCGUUUCAUCAAUCUUUCUUUAAGCUAAAAGUUGUUCUGUUGCAUAAAUGAACGUUCAUGCCUGCACAGGUCGGGUAGUGAUGUUUUCUUCUGUUAAGAAGUGAUGCAAAUUAAGCCGCGAUCGAUGUCGUUUGAUCAAUCUUUCAAUUCUUUAAUCAAAAAGUUGUUCUGUUGCAUAAAUGAACGUUCUAAUUAUAAAGUUGUCCUGCACAGGUCGGAUCCAUGGAGCAGAGUCGGGGUCGGUUGGGGACUAUCAUCUUUUUCCUUGCAAGGUUCACCCGAGUGCCAAUUAUAAAGGACCGUGCAUUGCAUUGAUCAACGACAAAGCCUGCAACCGUGUAUGCUUAGGCGAAAGCAGCGACAAUAGUUCCGGCGAAUGUUCCGCUUUCAAGUGCAUGUGCACAGUCAGAUGCACCUCUGAGACUGUUGCUGCUGCUAGCGCUCCGAUCGCCGCCUGAACAAACCAUCCGAUCCUGCAUCGUCCCGGCCCGGCCCUCGUGUAAUAAUAGAAUAUAACACUGUAGGCUUGCAAGUUGUUUGUUUUCUUUUUUUUCCUAGUACCGGUCAGUAACUCUCCUCUAAUGCCAGUUUUGGAACCAAUACUGGCAAUCUGGUAGUAGAGGGGGUCCAUUAGUACGGGUUGGGGAUACCAACCGGUACUAAAGGUCUUUCACCCCACGCAGGCAGGUGGCAUCAUUAGUACCGGUUGGUAUACCAACCCGGUACUAAUUGUUUUUCAUUUUUCUUUUCUUAUUUCUGAUCCUUUAGUCUAUAUUUGUAUUUUAUAUUUGUAUUUUAUAUUUGUUCCUUUACCUAUACUAGUUCUAAUAUGCUCAUAUAUGGAAAUUUCUAUAUAUCUGUAAUGUUACAUUUCCGAUCUCAGAGAGAACCACUUUUGAUAAUAAUUCAAAUACCCAGGAAAAAUAAGUACGUACUUAAACUUAAGUUGAUACAGCACUACUUGUCUUAGAGAGAAGUUCAAAUACAUAAGACAAAUAUUACAUCCAUGCAUACUACGGGAUUAGCCCGAAUACCUUAUAAAGAUAUAAAACAUAAUUCACAUAUGCAAUCUUAAAGUCUAGAUCGUCAUCAAUAUAAGUUAGAGCAUGAACCAGUGUACUCUCUAUCGACUGAGAAUAAGUUAAAGUUAGACAACCAUAAAUCUCAAACAAUGGCGGGUCCGUCACUUAAGAUGCAUUGUAGAAAGAUAUGUUAGCCUGGAGCGUGAAAUCUCUAGUACACGUCAGGUGUCGAACGCUAAAAAUAUAUUCCAAUCUUUUCACGACUUGCUCCAGAAUCGCUUGAAAGCUUAUGGGCGCCCAGGUUUGGCCAUAGAUAUCCUAAAAGAAGAGAAUAUCAUUACUAUAAAAUUUAAAAUAUGUAACAUAAUUGAAUAUAAAAGGAUGAUUAGAUCCAUACCAUGUCAUGUUGAUUCCAAAUACAAAGCUUCUCAGUAGUCAUAAUCACACUACUCCUUCCCUCCAGAAGCGCCUUUAUUUUAAAAUACAAGUGGUCUGGUACAAAGUACACAUGCUCCUUUAGCUUUUCCAGGCAUGCCUCCACAACGUUCCUUUCAGAACCUGUCUUACUUUCUCCGGGUGCACCCGAUGCGUCAAUUUCAACCAUCAACUUAGGUUGCCCUGGUGGUGCUUCUCGAAUGGGUAUUUGAAAAGAGAUGUGUAGUCUUAUAACUGGACCAACUACAUCUCGUCGCACUCUAGGAGUGGUACCACCUACAUCUAUGACAACUCGUUUAAGCCAUGUAAUCAUGUUGAUAACCUACAUUGUUUGUAAGUAGAAUUAGGAAUUGUUCAUGUGUAGUUCAAAAUCAAUUGGAAGAAGAAAAUAACAUUACUAUGGUGGGAACUGUUCCGUCGCUUCGAUCGCCUUUUGGCAUGACGAUACUGGGAGUAGGGAAAUGAACUCCUGUAGGGCGUGCCACCUCGAGGAUAGUAAUAUUUGUAGAUGACAUUUGUAGGUCUAAAGUUACCAAAUAUCCAUCAAAUUCCAACUCAAAAACAAGUUUAAAUAAAUAACCAUCCGUACUAGUUGACCUUGCAGACAUGAUCAUCUCGGCGAGCAUUUCUCCACCGGGCGGCACCGUACUUUGCCAUGGAAGAGCUUCAAUUCUACGAGGAAGGGGACACGGUCUUCCACGACCGUUGCCACUCUCCCUCGUAGAAUCAAAGCUCCUUCUUGACGUCUAUUACCGCUCGGUAGAGAACAUGCUAGCUAAGAUGAACACGGUCUGCAAGUUCAACUAGUACGGAUUUUAUACAAUUUUAUAACUAAUUUCUAAGUAUUUCAUUUCAUGGGAAAAAUUAAUCCUAAAAAAUAAAAGGCAUGAUUACUAAGUAUUUCAAUUUUCUAUAAUUUUUAUCUACUCCAACAUUUUUCUAUAAUUUUCUAACUAUUCUCUACUAAUGCAUAAAUCAAAAUAUUAAUAAUAAUGACAUCAUGACGGUCGCGGGCUUAUGUUAGCGCGUCCCAUGGCUGUCAUGAGUCUGCAGGAGUCGGGCUGGGCGGCCGGCGUCGGGGGUGCGGUCGGUUAGCAAGGCCGGCAUGGAGGGGCGUCGUUGGCGGCGAGGGGCAGGCUGUGGCGUUUGGGCCGGUGUGGAGGGAGGCGUUGGGGCCAGCGCGGAGGACCGGCAUUUGGCACGGCAAUGUCGGGGCCGGGGCAUGGAUGGGGAGGCGAGGGCGCGCUGGCGGUGGCGCGGCAGCGUCGGGGCGGCGAUGCCCCACAUACGUUGGGGCUGUGGCGGCGGGCGGGGUAGUCCGGGGCGGGACGGCGUCGAACCUGGCUGGGAUGGCACCAUUGGAGGCACGGCCGGCCGGGGGGAGGGGAGGGGAGGCGGCGGUGUCGAGGUUGGUGACGGAGGUGACAGAUGCGGCGGAUGGGGGUGGCGAUGGAGGUUCUUGGCAGCCAGUCGGGGCUGGGAGAUUCGUGCGCGUGAGGAAGACGAAGCGGAAAUGGCGAAGUGUUUGCUGGUCUGGAGCACUGAGCGUGUCUUAUGUCAGUGACCCUCUAGUGCCGGUUCCAAUUAAAAUCCGGCACUAGAGAUCCUCUAGUACUAGAAGGUGGGCCUCUAGUGCCGAUUUUAGUGUACAACCAGUACUAGAGGGGCUCCCCGUGCGGGAAAUGAAAAUCUCUUUCAAGAUUCUUGUCAUGCCUCUCCUUCCCUAUCAUGUUGGUCCAAACAUACAAACUCCUGUAAGGAAUCUGAUGGAAUAUUAUCUUGGAACAUAAGGUGUUUGCCUUCUUGAUUAAGAAAAUAGUAGCCUCACCUAAAAUUGUUUGGAAAGUUAAAUGGUUUUGCAAAAAAAAUGAAAAAAAUAAUAUGCACGUCGCAAGUCAUGCGAAAUAUACACGUUCCGUAGGAUUCAAACCCACGACCUCAAGCCUCACGCGUAGCUUUCUUACCAUCCCACUAACACACCAUAUCUGAAUAUAUAGGGGAUGCAAUCCUUUUGUACUAAAUCUCGGAAGACCCUUUUAUCCCAGUUUGUAAUACCAACCGGGAUAAAAGACCCCUGUUAUCCCAGUUGGUAUUACAAAUCAAGAUAAAAAGUUUCGAGAAAUUUAGUUCUUUUUUAGCCACCCGUGGGGAACUCUUUUAUCCCGAUUUGAAACACCACCCGGGAUUAAAAACUUCCUUUUAUCCCGGUUGGUAUUACAAACCAUGAUAAAAAGUGUUCGGGGGCUUUAAUCUUUUUUACCUACACGUGGGGACCCUUUUAUCCCAGUUGGUGUCAUGAGCUUUAGUCCUGAGUGGUAACACCAACCAGGAUUAAAAUGGUGACUUUUAGUCCCGAUUGGUCUUACCACCCGGGACUAAAAGGUCCCUCACAGGUAGCUGAUUUUUUCACCCGGGACUAAAGGAUCCCCCACGGGUGGCUGAUUUUUGACCUGGGAGAAACAGACUCCUUUAGUUCCGGUUGCAAAUACCAAUCGGAAGAAAAGCUCGCGCACUCCCUUUUCUCUCGAGCCUAUAUUAAACCAGGAUUAAAAGGAGGCGCAUUGAAAGUCUACGUGUGCAAAUUUAUCUACUCUCUGGUUUUCUUCAACCUCUCAAUUACUACUAUAGUGAUCUGUGAUAAAAAAUACUACUAGUUGCUCAAAUUUAAUUUAGAAAGGUGCCGAUUUAUAGAUGAAAAUUUCUCGUUGCUGAUCCAUAAAGCAUGACUUGUCAUGAAAAGUAAGACUGCCAUGUUCAUAAGAAUGGUGUGUUUAAAGGAUGGUUAUUUGAAUUUUUUUUCGAAGAAUUUCAAUAAUUUAGUUUUUCCUUAAAAUAAAAAAAAGGCAUUUGGUCUAGUGGUAUGAUUUUCGCCUUGGGUGUGAGAGGUCCCAAGUUCAAUUCUUGGAAUGCCCCGAAUUUUGGCUUUUUUUUAUUUUUCCAUGCACUUAAUGCUUAUAACUGAAAUCAAAUGCUUUCGACGACAAAGAGAGAAGCACGGAUUUUUGAAGCCAAAUAAAGACCACACUACUUCUUGAAUUUAAAAAUUACACUUUUGCAGAAGUUCAUAUUUCUAAUCUAUGCAUUUGGCAUGAGCAGUGCCAUUUACCAAUGAAAUCACAAAAUUAAUUUUAAAAAUCACAUCACCAAUGCUAUGCAUGCACUAGAGAUGAAACAACUUGAACUGUUCCCAAAAAUUGGGAGUGAGGCAGCCACACAUCAACAAUGCUAUCCAUGCACAGAGAUGAGACAACUUGAACUAUACAUACCAGAAUAUUGGUAGUGAUCAGGACCUGCAUGAUAACUGGUGCGGUUACAAAAAUACCUAUAUUUAAAAGAAGUAAUUUCUAAAAAAAAAUAAAAUUAAACAACAAAGGGCAUUUGGUCUAGUGGUAUGAUUCUCGCUUAGGGUGCGAGAGGUCCCGAGUUCAAUUCUUGGAAUGCCCCUUAUUUAUUAUAUUCUCUUUUUUAAUUCCUCAAAAAACAUUCCCCUUAUUUUAUUAUAUUCUCUUUUUUUUUAAUUCCUCAAAAAAUUACAAUUAUGCAUGCAGCUGAAUCAACGAACGAAAUAGCGAGUUAUAGCGGUUGAUGCUAGCUGCCGCUACAACAACAUUGUACUAAUUAGCAGGCUAACUAUAGCAGUUGAACACAGCUUUACGCUAAAUCCCAUAGCCCGUUAUUUUGUACAUUGAGCUGAAGGUUAAGACACUUUCCCACAUCACGAUUACUGAAACAAUCAAGUUAUUUUGCUGAGUGUAAUUAUUUUGCCGAGUGUUUUUUUAUAGCACUCGGCAAAAAGGUUAUUUGCGGAGUGCCCGAGGUAAUGCAUUCGCAAACAUAAAAACACUCGGCAAAGUGCAAGUUUCCGAUGGUGCAUGUUCAUGAGGUUGGGAAAAAAUACCUAUAUUUAAAAGAACUAAUUUCUGAAGAAAAUAAAAUUAAAAAACAAAGGGCAUUUGGUCUAAUUGUAUGAUUCUCGCUUCGGGUGUGAGAGAUCCCGAGUCCAAUUCUCGGAAUGCCCCUUAUUUUUUAUAAUUCUUUUUUUAAAUUACUGAAAAAUUACAAUUAUGCAGCUGAAUCAAUAAACGAAAUAUCACAAUUAUGCAGCUGAAUCAAUGAACGAAAUAGCGAGCUAUAGCGGUUGAGCAUAGUUCUACGCUAAAUCCCAUAACCCGCUAUUUUGUACAUUGAGCUGAAUGUUAAGACACUCUCCCACGUCACAAUUACUGAAACAAUCAAGUUAUGCAGACUUUUAGAUUGGAUAAACAUUAAAUAGAGAUGAAGGCUACAAACAUCACUCACAAUUCAGAAUCAUAUACUCUUUCUUUUUUUUGUUUUGUUUUGUUUCCGAUAGAUUCACACAUCAUGUACUUAUCAUACAUCAUACAAUCAGUGCAGCUGGAUGUUAAGACGAGCUGCAGGUUCGCAUCAUUUCACUCUUCAUUUGCAGUAGGAUCGGAGAUCGCAUUCAGGCGUGGUGGAUGGAGUUGGCUCCGAUGGCGAUGAGGUCGCUGGCGAGCUUCUGGAGCUCCUGGUCGUGGUCCGUCAUCACCGACGGCGUCCCGCGCUCGUUGAAGCCGUCGUCGCAGGUGGUCACGUCCGUCUCCACCGAGUCGAGGUUGGUGCGCGCCGUGGCGAGGUCGCCGCGCUUCAGCGCGUCGUCCACCGUCUCCAGGUUCGACUUGAUGUCGCUGUACGACGACGUGCAGUCGUCCAGCGCCUCCUUCACCGUCGCGUCCGUCCCCGGCGCGUUCAUCCGGUCCGUCGCCGCGUUCAUCGCCUCGACCACCUUCUCCCGCACCGCCUCCAUCGCCAGCCGCAGCACGCCGAUGGCGUCCGCCGCCGCCGUCUGCGCCGCAGGCACGCUGCCGGGGAGCCCCGCGAUCGAGGCCUCGCAGUCCUCCGGGUACUGCGUGUUGGCGCACACGCGCUUCACCACCGGGUUCAGCAUCUUCGCGAUCGGCUUCCGGAUCAUGCCCCCGAAGGUCUCCAUCGACAGCUUCGGCUUCUUCGCCGCCGGCAGAGGCUCGUCGGGAGCGCCGCCCAUCGGCUGCUGGCCGCUGGCGGCGUACUGGUCGGAGCUCUUGGCCGCUGGCAGAGGCUCGUCGGGAGCGCCACCCAUCGGCUGCUGGCUGCUGGCGGCGUACGGGUCGGAGCUCUUGGCCGCCGGCAGAGGUUCGUCGGGAGCGCCGCCCAUCGGCUGCUGGCUGCUGGCGGCGUACGGGUCGGAGCUCUUGGCCGCCGGCAGAGGCUCGUCGGGAGCGCCGCCCAUCGGCUGGCUGCUAGCGGCGUACGGGUCCGAGCUCUUGGCCGCCGGCAGAGGCUCGUCGGGAGCGCCACCCAUCGGCUGCUGCUGGCUGGCGCCCUGCGCCGUCGGAGAUGCGUACGCGUCGGGGGUGCCGGCGGAGCUCUGCUUGGCCGCCGGCAGAGGCUCGUCGGGAGCGCCGCCCAUGGGCUGCUGGCUGGCGUCGGCGUACGCGUCGAGGGUGGUUGUGGAGCUCUUGGACGUCUCCUUCUUGGCCGGUGCAGAAGGUACGUAUUGGCCGGCGGCGGAGACGUCGACCGGUGUGGCAUCCUCGUCGGACUUCUCCUUGGGUGGAACAUAUUCGCCGGUGGUGGAGACAUCGACGGGCGUGGGAUCCUCGUCAGAUUUCUCCUCCUUGUCCUCGUCAAAAUAAUCAUUGGAUUUCUCCUUUUUCUUAGCUUCCUCCUUCUUUUCCUUCUUAUUGGAAGACACAUCUUUAUCCGAGUCCUCGGACUUCUCCUUCUUUUCCUUCUUACCAGGGGAUACAUACUCAUCGGAAUCGUCAGACUUCUUCUUCUUUUCCUUCUUAUUAGGUGAUACAUACUCAUCGGAACCGUCAGACUUCUCCUUCUUUUCCUUCUUAUUAGGGGAUACAUGCUCAUGGGAACUGUCAGACUUCUCCUUCUUUUCCUUCUUAAAAGAUGAGGAUUCGUCGGCAUCGUCGUACUUCUCCUUCUUCUUCUUUUUCUUGAGAAACUCGGAUACAUCAGAAUCAUCAGAUUUCUCCUUCUUAGCAGAAUCAUCGGAGUUCUCCUUUUUCUUCUUAAGAUUCCCAAAAGCAUCAAAAUCAUCGGAUUUUUCCUUCUUUACCUUCUUUGGAGCUGAAGAUUCCUCAUAUUUGUCGGGUUUCUCAUCUUCUUCAACUGGUUUCUCAUAGGCGGUGGAGGCUUUAGCUGAAGUGGCUUCCUCGUAGGGAUUCUUCACCUUGGGCUUCUCGGCAACCUUCUUAGGCAAUCCAUAUUCAUCGAGGGACAAUGUCUUGACAGAGCUUCCGGUGGCGGCGGCAGCCGCAGCUUCGCUCUUGCUUUCAGGCUUCUCAUGCAGCGAGAUGCAUAUCGCCGAGACUAGGGGCACGGUGGCCACGAUGGCCAGGAGCAGGCCGAGGCUUAGGAGGUGCAGCCUCAUGGUGGCCCUAGGAGACAUGGUGGAGACGGUGGUCAAAAAGUUUGGAAGGGAGGUUGGAGGCGAGGAGGGAUAUUUGAAUCUGCGAGGGAAAGGGAACGAUUGGCCGCAUUUGGCGCGAAAGAAACGAGAGAAGGGUAGGCAGCCGCUAACCUGUAACUAACACACGUCUGUAAAAUCAUGCGUUUACCGUGAGAAUAGAAGAGAUAACGACAGGACAUAUAUACGAAAAUAGGCUCCUGUUUUAAUUUUCCGUUUUUAGCUAGGUAGCAAACGAGCUGUCAACUGACAUGUGGCCCCAAGCCAAGAAAAUGAUGCAUGGAGGAGCUGGACAGGAGGGGCGAAGCCACGUUGUCCCUCCCUGGUGCAUGCACAUGCACCAGGUAAAAUUUUUAUUUACCACUAAUUAGACUCAAAAUUAUCAUAUAAUCCUAGUAAAAUUUACCGGUCUCUUAAAUAGUGCACCAUAGUCAAUUCAGCGUUAGCUUCGCCCCUGCUGGGUUCUUGGUCUGGUUGGAUCUGCAGGUAAUGCAAAGCGCAACAACUUGUCCAUUCAGCUAUUCACAGCAUUUGUUGCAGGUACGCUUUAGCUGAGUAGUCGUUGCGGUUGUUUUGUACCGUUGUCGGAUUCGGACUCGGACUAUUGCGCACGGUCGUCGGAUUCCACUCGUCAACAUAACAAGCCCGAGCGUCGAAUCGGCGGGCCGGCCCAUCGAGGUCUAUCGCCCCGCCGAGUCGGGGACAUGGUGGACCCAGGCCCAAGGAAGCGCAGUGGACCACGGGCGGCCCAAGCGCAGAUUGCAUCCAACAACCCCGCCCACCCGGCGGCCUUGUAACCACGUACCUCCAUGUAAACACUUGGCCCAUCUACCUCUUCUUUUCUUCAAAGGCGGCCCAUGUACCUCCUGUUCCUGUGUUUAAUUUUUUUUUAUUUAAGGAGGAAGAGGUGACUCUUGUUCCACUCAAACACAAGGGGAGGAUUUUCCCUGAAAAAACAAAAACAAAACAAAACAAAACAAAACAAAAGGAGAACUGUGCAGUUGGCUGACUGUUGAUUUGGACGGUAUUGCUACUCCGUAUCAUAACGAACACCUGCCUGGCAAGCUCUCUCCAUCGACCCAUAUGGGUAAUGGGUCAGUGAGUCGACGCUGACAUGUGCACAUCUCGACCAAGCAAGAAAAAGUAGCUGCCGACAUGCUCUCAAGAUCAGAUCGACUAGGCAGCUACAGGUACCUGUUCACCUUUUUUCCUUUCUUCUUUUUUUUCUUCCAACCCUUUUCCGUCCAAUAAUUCGUCCGGCCGGUUGCUUUCCAUAUCCCAUCGUCCUCUUUUUGUUCGGCUCUGCGUCCGUGAAUCCCUGAUGCGACACGAUCAUGCAAACCUUUUUAAUCUUUAUUUUAAAUAAUCAUGCAUGAUUCAUGUCAACUUUGCUCUCUCUCUCUCUGAUCAUCAUCAUCAUCCAGAGCAUCAGGCACGCUAGGCCACAAACAGUUGGUUCUAAACCACUACCACCAGCAGUCACACUGAUGCUGCGUAGAUUAGAAAAAUAUGGUUGGCUACCAAGCUAGCUGCCCAAGACUUUGGAGCCCCUGCAGGAGACCAGUCAACUGAGAACUGGCCAAGGACAUGUGGCUCUCAAGCUGGCGAUGUGUUCACCUCCCUGCUCACUCACUCAGCAGUCGUAGAGGAGCACCCAAACACGCCAGCUUGCAACAACUUGGGUGUUUCGUGGCCCAUGUUUCAUAGUCCUCGGUCGUCUACUACCCAACGGCUAAAUUUACGAUGGUCAUGGAUGUGAACUUACAUAUACCGAUGUAUAUUUUUUUUAAAAAAAAUAUUUUACUCCCCUCACCUAUCCACUUUGUUCACUUAACCUCCUAAUAAAAAUUAGACUCACUUUACUCCACUGAACUAUUUCAUUUGGUCCAAUCUACUCUCUAAUUAGAUUUCUCUUUUUUGUUUCUCCAUGAAUAAGUUGAAUUUUGAGUUCAAAUUUUGUGAGCAGAUACAAAACAUGAUGCCUUAUGUUAAAAAAUUAUACUAAGAAUUUUUCAUAGUUAUUUUCAUAUGUUAGUAAUAUUUAAUACGAAAUUGAUCUUAGAUAUACAAAACUAUAAAAAAGUAAUCAUGAGAAAUUGCUAAUGUAUUUUGUCUAACGUAUAACAUCAUGUUAUAAGUCAAUGGCCAAAAUUUGAAAGAUUUAAAUGCGUCGUUAGUACCUAAACUUGGCGAGUGGGUGCACUUAGGUACAUCAUCUCUCAAAUUGUUCAUUUAGGAACAAUAACUUGAUAGGUGGGUGUAGAUGGGUUAUCGGGGUGAUACGUAGAAAAAAAAUGCCACGCAGGCAGCUUACAUGUUAGACAAUGUUUUUUAAAAAAGUCCUUCACUCCAUGCUAAUUCUACCAUGCCAUCUCCUCCUCAAGCUGGCCGGUCUCCUUCUCAUCUCCCUCCCCGAUCCUCAUUUCUUCUUCCUCGGACUGAAACAAGCAAAGCCACUGCACCUCUAGCCAAGAUUCAUGCUGCUUCCCUCAAGCAAAAUCAAAUUGCUGCUGCACAAACCUUCUCCACCUUCCCCUAUAGCCGCGCCGGUCCUCCUUCGCCGCAGCCAAGCUCCCCUACGACGGGAUUUCAGCAUCGAAGCUCCAGCUGCACCACUGGCCACCAUGACUACCACUACCUCUAGCGACCAUUCCUCAGCAUCACAACCAUCAAACCAGUCGACCUUACCAUCAAUAUAAAUCAUGUUCCUUGCAAGGCCACAGAAAAAUCCCUCAUGAUUUACUUCUACACUGAAAAGUGACGUAUCGCCUACAAUCCAAUAAAAUACAAAUAUUCAAUCUAGUAUUAGACUUCAACUUUCAUAGAAAAAAAAUAGCAAACUUUCAUCAAAUCUAGCGUUAUGUCACGGCUGAUGAAGUUGAAAGAGAAGAGGUAUGAUUCCUACGCUCAUCUGUGGCAUGGGGUAUUAGACCCUGAACUCGUACACUAGCCCUAAACCAAACCUUUCUUAAUUAUCAAUACUAAGAGAAAUUCGCAAAAAGGCGCAAAACAGAUAGCGGUGGAUGGAGGGAAUCGAUGAAAUUCACCAUAAUUUGGAGCUAGGUUUCCAGGUUUUCUCCGUCUUGAUCCCAUCACGUGGUGUGCCAAACUUCUUCUGCAGUACAAGCAACCUAUGUGCGAACAUCUAGUAAGCUCAAUUAUAAAAAGAGCAAAUAAACAAAGAGCUAAUUUGCAAUAGUAUUGCCUACGUUUUAUUUACACGUAAACGCCAAUUGUACGCAUAAGCUAUCUACAUGGCACGUUUUUUCCUAUGUGUCAUACCGGUGACCCAUCCGCACCGACUUGUCAAGUUGUUGUUCCCAAAUAAUCAAUUUGAAAAAUGAUGUACCUAAAUGCACCCACUCACCAAGUUUAUGUACUAAUGACACAUUUAACUCAAUUUGAAAUUAAACCUCAACUUGUACGUGAAGAAAAAAAAAGAGAAAUCUAAUUAGGGGUAGUUUGGUACAAAUGAAUUAGUUCGGGGGAGUAGGGUGAGCCUAAAUUUUGCUUAGAGGGUCAAGUGGACAAAGUGGAUAGGUGAUGUGAGUAAAAUAAUUUUUUUCUCUUUUUUUUCCGCCUUUUUUCUGCAGUGCACGUGUGGAUUCGUUGCGCUUUUCCACUGGGAAAGCGUAAACCAGGCCAGCCGCGGGUUUGGUUGUUGCUUCUUCUGUUGACUAAAGAAAAUUUUUAUUCACAAGACAUUACAGUGUCAACUAAUAACUGUUUGGGUGGUUCGAAGACUUGUGCACAGGAGAAAGGACACGGAACAUCUAAUAACUGUUCAAAGAAAAUGACUUGGGAUUCGGACGUAUGCAAUUGAAAACAAAAAGGUGGCUGCUGCCGAGUGCAUAGUGUAUUCAGACGUAAAGCUAGCGAAACUGCAGUUGAUUCCAGCAGUUGAAUUUAGUACUUAGUAGUAUGUAUAAGAUCAAAAAACUAUUUAUAAUAAUAAUUUGUUCAUGAAAUUCUCCUACGUUUGUUCAUAGAACUCAAAUUAAAAGUAGUGGUUGUAAGCUGUAUAUACGUUUAAAGCAAAACAGCAAAGGAAUCGGAUGCAUACUAGAAAUCCGAUGUUCAGAUACGUACGUAUAUAUCAUCGACGAUUCAGAGGAUGGAUUGGAACAAUGCUGCCUUUUUUUGAAUUAAAUUAAAGGUUUCCUUUUCAUUUUCUGCCAUAAAGAAAUAAAGAGCUGGCAAGCAAAUAAGCAGGGCCAGGCAGUCAAAUAUGGUGCCAGCAAGUGGGCUGGAAGAUAGGCACGGGUCCCUCUCAUAUAAGCAAGUUGGUUUCUCCUCUCUCGCAUGUUGCUUCCCGUUUCGGUUAUCGUUUUUCUUUUGAGCUGUUAUCCUUUUUAAUUAUCAGAAGAAAAGAUAAAGGAAUAAUCUCAAGUAUGAAUGCAUGUGGGGGAGGACAAGAUGGGGGAUUUUAGUUAUACUUGUUUGACAAGACUUGGAUGCGAAACGGAGAACAUGAUCACCCCGACGCAUGUAUUGUGAAAAAAAAACAACAAAAAACUGUAAAACGGAAUCCCAACAAAAAUGCAACUGGAGGAGGACAAGCAGUCUAAUUUGACUCCGAAAAAACGAUGGGGGUGAUUUGGAACGGGGUCACGGAGACGGAAACGGGGAAUGAGACGGAGAAACCGUCCAGAAAAGCCGGACGCAAUGCAUGGGAGCUUAAGAUCUCCCUCAAAAUUUCCAACUUUGACACUAUGCAAAAAGAAGAUUCUCCAUCACAUCAAACUUGUGGUACAUGCAUGGAGUACUAAAUGUAGACGAAAUUAAAAAUUAAUUGCACAGUUUUGUUGUACUUUGCGAGACGAAUCUUUUGAGCCUAAUUAGUCAAUAUUUGGAUAAUAAUUCACAAAUACAAACAAAACGCUACAGUGUGCUACAGUGCUAUAACAGUAAUUUUGCACUUCCAAACUUUAGGCAACUAAACAAGGCCUAAGAGGAGGCCAGACGAGCAGUUUUGGUUGGGAAUUUUGGGCCGGUUGGGUUCCCGAAGAGGAGGCAAUGCAUGCAAUAAUCCUGUUGCGUCGCUGCAAGCCCGACACGCAUACGCUUCCAUGCCAACGCCAUGCCGUCUCGUCCUGUCAGUCCCACUCCACUUGCACUGUUGCCGUAUGCCACAAACGUACACGUAACGCGUUCAGGCUUGCACGAUCGAAUAAUCCUAGUCUUAUUUAAUUUCACAGAAAAUGGUCACGUCGUUUUCAGCUACGACGAUCUUGAAACUUACGUUGACUAGCUAGCAAAGCUAGCUCGCUCUCCAUUCAGAGAAAAGAGUAUCUUCUUGCUUCAAAUAUUCACUCCAUGUGAGGGAAGAAAAAAGGCACUCACUCUGUUCCAAAUAUUUGUCACUGCAAUACUAUUUGAGGCAUUCGGCAAAAUACACAGUAAAAUUCUCUAUGCAUUAUUAUCCACGGUGGAUAUUUUUUUCUUCUAAAAUCUCAACGCGGUCCCCUCAGCCCAAAAGUUUCGGUAAGGACAAAUUACCAGUUGCGCUUGUGCACAAGACGAAAAUGCCGGUUCCUUUUUCAGGUUACACAAAAAUGCUCUUGCUAGCUAGGAAGCAAACAAGCGCUAGAUGUCGAGGCAACAACACAACACCAGCACAGCAGUAGUUCCCAAGACACACAUGCCUACGUACUACUGCACUGCCUACUCCCAUAGUAAAUGCAUUUAUCGAGUUCAAAAUUUAUCCUCAAAUAAGCGCACAUCUAGCAACAAGACCAUCUAACUUUAGUUAUUUUUCCUACAUUCUCUUGCAAUAAUUACAUUUUUAUAAGAAUAUAUAUAAUUUCUCACUAAUAUUGAUUAGUGAGAGCUAUUUUAUUUUGAGACCGAGGGAGCAUUGAGAGUCGAGAGCAUGGCAGGGCCACACAAUCAGGAUUGUCAUAAAGAAACAAAGCUGCAUUUCCCGAGAUGAUGGAGGAGACUUUUUUGCAUCCUCGCCACAGUUGGGUCGACAGAGACAGAACCCGUCGCUGUAGAGAUCAUCCCCGGCAUCAGAAUCCAAUUUGCUAUAAAAGGAAAAAAAAUAUAUAAACAAGUUGUGGGCUUGUGGCUGGGGGAAUAAAGGCAAGGCGAUAGCCAAAACCAAAGCAAAUGCCAAGAGAGAUUGGGAUUGACAGAUUCCCUCACUCCCUCCCUCAUUGCUGCAUCUUUAAGCAAGAAAGAAGGCUGCAGUUGGAACUUGGAAGAAGCCCAGACUUGGGGCCAGCAGGGGAUCAAAGAACUCCUGCUGGGGGAAGCCUCUGGUUCUUCCUCACAUUUCUGAAUUUUUGCUCUGUUUCUUAGGAGCCGGCGUAGCUCUGAAUGCCAGCUCAGAAAGACUAGGAAGCAGAGUUGAGCCAAAUUUGCUCGCCAGAUUGCCUGGAAACGAACAAAAGGCGCCGCUUUGCGCUCUUGGAUCGGAGGAAUCUUCAAGAAAUCGAUAAAAGGUGCCUUUUUGGGGACUCCUUUUAUCACGGGAGCCUCCAAAGGCGCCAUUUUUGCCACCUUGCGAGCUCUGGGGAGGGCGCUGAUGCUUGCCAUUUGAUACAGCAGCGACAGCGCCGCCGGCGAUGGCAGCGGAGGAGCUCCUGAGGAAGAUGCGGGAGCUGGAGGAGGGCCAGGCCGAGCUCAAGCGGGAGAUUUCCAAGCUCGUGCCGGAGCGGCAGGGCGAGCAUCCCAACUCGUCGCGCCGCCCGCUGCAGCCGUCGCCGGCGCGGCGCGCCCUCGCCGUGCUCCCUUCCUCGUCGUCGCGGCUGCAGCGCGUGGGCCGCGUCGGGCUCACCGACAGGCAGCACAUCAGGGCCCUGCACGCGCUGGGCCAGUCCGUGUAUAUCAUUGCCCCCGGCGGGAAGCUCCUGUACUGGUGAGGUCUCUUGCAUUUCCUGGGUUUGAUUGUUUCUGCACAUGGAGUGUUUGACGAAAUGUCAGACAAGCGGUAUGCAGAGGUUUAAGUGUAAAAUAUGGGAAUAGUUCGACAAUUUUUGACAAAAGUGAGCGGUGUGAACAAAUAGUGGAGGUACCAAUGUAGUGAUCAAAAGUUCAAAUAUGUUUUGAUGCUAAACCACUCCUACUAAUGUAGUGAACAAAUAGUGGAGGUACCAAUAUGUUUUUGACAACAGUGAGCGGUGUGGGCAUGGAUUUGAGUAAGCAGCCAGGUUUUCUAGUAUUUUCUCCUUGGGCUGUAUCAACUGGCUUUGCAUACAUUAGCCAUCUGAUGUACAGGAAAUUGCAGUGGUAGUGGGAGGAAAUCUGUUGCAGCAUUAAGCAAUGAUUUGAUAUUGGAAUGGAAGUUAUGUCACUUAGCUAGUGUCAGUGAUCAUGCCGCAAUGUUUCAUUAUAUGACCUGUGACUUUUGGAAUCAAACUAAUGGGGGUAUUGGAACUCUGUUAACUUCAUCAUGAUGGAAGUAGAGUAACUCAGGUUAGGUAGGCUUUUUUCCCUAAUAUCUAUGUGACAAAAUUGGAGUCAGGACCUUGUCAAAAAUAUACAUUUGGCGUACCACUUUAAGUCUUUGUGGCUAAUUGCCUUGGUUUGUUCAUAUACAUUUGGCCGUUUACCUUGUCCAAGAUAUUUGAUGCAUCACUUGCAGCUUGCUGUUGGUUAAUUGCAUAAAUUGUUUUAUAUGGUAGAAGUAGUUCAACAUGAAAGCAUCACGUUUUUUUGGUGGCUAUAAGUUUCUGAUUAAUUGGAACAUCAUAAGGGAAAGUUCUAUGCUGCUUAUCUGGUCAAACUGGGUGAUAAUGGUGAAGAUUUAUGAGGUGGCUUUUAUGACUUAGCUAUGGAUGUUAUCAAAAUAUCUAAUUUUGUUGUAUGUUAUACAUAAAUGAUGCAAUAUUUAUUCUAUUUAUGUUUCAAAAAUACUUACAAGAUUGCAUGCAAAAUUGCACAGAAUUGUGGAAAACAGCUUGAAUGUAUGGUAUGGGAUUAACAGAAUAUGUAGAGAAAAUGUUGGUCUUUCUUGUCUUAGUACAUCGAGAUCUAAACACAUGGUAUAGCUCGAUACAUGUAAUUACAGUAGAUCCCUUCAUCCAGAUUGUUGCUUAGUUGGCUCAGGAAGCAUGUUAAAUUAUUAAUGUUAUAUGAAAUUUCAAGUAUAACUCCUCGCUGUUUAAUCCUAUAGCUACUACCUAAUUUACAAAAGGCUCGAAUCUUAUUUGUAUUCUAGGAACCGUUAUGCCGAGCAGAUGUUUGGCUAUUCUGCAUCAGAAGCGGUUGGUCAUGAUGCUGUUGAAUUAUUGGUUCAUCCUGAUGAUGUCAAUGCAGCAAACAAUAUCAUCCAAAAUAUAUUUAUGGGGAAAUGUUGGAGAGGGAAGUUUCCUGUUAAAAAGAAGUCAGGAGAACGGUUUUUCAUUGUGGCCAAUAACACUCCUUUGUAUGAUGAUGAUGGUAGCUUGGUGGGCCUCAUUUGUCUCUCAGUUGAUACACAGACAUUGGAGGACAUAAUGGGUCCUUCAACUUCAAUGAAAUCGUAUUCACAUCCAGCAAAGCUCCGUUUUCAAGUCAACAAUCGGCCUAAAUGCAGUUUGUUAAACAAAAGUUCUGUUGACUCUCAGCAACCUCUCCAAUCUUCUAUCGCCUCCAAGAUAACAACUUUGGUAUGUUGUACCUCUGAAUAGUCAAAGAAAAGACAACUGUUCAGUUGCAGUAGAAAGUUUCUUUUCUGGCAUUUCUUCUUUAUUUAUGUCCUAGUGUACUGUUUUCUUGAUUUUUAGAAUAACAACACAGGCUACCAAGGUUACAAGUAGAGUUCGUUCUCGGAUCAAGACAGGUCAGAACUGCAAUGAACAGCAAAGCGGCGGCUCUGAGAGUCAAUACUCUGAAGAUGAUUAUAAGGAAGAACUGACGUCUAGUGGAACAGACACCCCAAGAGGGGAUGUAGUGCAUGAUGGUUUUGUUAAAGGAGAGAAUUCCCCUGGUAAGUCGAGCAAAACGAGUAGUGAUGAGCCAGGAGAAGGAAAUGAAAGGCUUUACAAGAUUACUUCAAAGGCAGAGGAAUUAUUGGCCAAGAAGGGGAUAUCAUGGCCUUGGAAAGGGCAUGAACAUAAUGGUACUGGCAAGAGUUACAUGAACCCAUCACAGUUUCAUGAUAAGCAAGAGAAUGAGCAGAUGCAUCAGGCCGGUCCAGAGUCAAUUGUAAUUCCAGAUUACCAAGAUUCUGAGUGUGCCCAGGAAAGCAAAUAUGAAGUAACAGGUUCCUGGUGGUGUUUCAAUAACGACAGCUUGAGUAGUAUGGACAGCAGUAUAAGUACUAAUAGCAGUGCUAUUGAGAGAGUAGACCAUGAAGCAGAUUGCCUAGAUUAUGAGAUUCUGUGGGAAGACCUUGUACUUGGAGAACAAGUAGGUCAUGGUAUUCACUUCUCUCUCUCUGCAAAUGCUUCUAUUUGUCUGCAAAUGUAGAAACACACACCUCUCUUGUUCACUCAUGCUUCGAAAGAUUUAUACAUGCAUAAGGCCUUACUCGAGCAACAUGCUAAAUUUGUUAAUGGCCUAAAUGGGAUACCAGAAUCCCUGGAUACGAAUUUUACAAUUUCUUAAUAAUCUUACUUCAUGUGUCUCUUUGGCAGAAUCCAUAUAGCUGUGCUUCCUAUGUCCUUCAAAGCACUUAAAUUAAUUCCAUGAUUCACAACAGAACUGAUAACAUGAAUUUGUACCUGAUAUGAUGAUAAUGUUACAUUUCAACUUUUCAAUGUCUUGCAUAUCGUGCAGUGAUGGUAUUUUGCCUCCGUAUGAUCAUGUGUAUAAUCAGACAAUAUGAACAGCAGUAAAUCUUUUUUUUACCUGCUCAUCCUAUUUUCUAAUAGAUAUAUUUCUCUCUUGCCAUUUACAUGAUUGGCAGGUUCUUGCGGAACAGUGUAUCAUGCUCAGUGGUAUGCCUCGGUAUGUAACUUCUGUCGCAUGAAUAUGCAUGGAGAAAUUUUAUUCUUAGCAGUUGAUUCUAGAAUACCUAUUUUAUGCCUUUGUAGGAUGUGGCGGUUAAAGUAUUCUCCAAGCAAGAGUAUUCAGAAGAAAUGAUAGAUACCUUCAGACAAGAGGUAGACAUCUAUGUCACGUAGGCAUAUGAAGUUGCAUGCUUUUUUUUUUGGAUUGAAGGAACUCUAUUGUAUUAUCGAGGUAGACAUUUGUGCAGGAUGUUGUAAUAUCGCUUUCUUGGCAUUUCGCUAAUCCGAGUGCGGUGCUUAUAUUUCAGUGUAUUGAGUCGUGCAGCAAGCACAGCAUUCUUAGAUUACUUGGUCACUAUAGACCAGGUCUCACAACAAAGAAUACUGACACUAGUUAGGUUUAUCACUAUGUCACAGAAACCAAUCAGGAUUUUACAGUAAUUCCCAUUUUUUAUGCACUCACAAAUUUAAGGGGUAAAGUGUGAGUGCUGGAAGCAUCCUAAAAUAAUAAUGUGUUAGUUCAUGACAUAACCUGAUGGUGCCCUGUUCUACAGUCACCAGAUAACUGAGUGGGAUAUACUUGGCAUGCAUGUGCUAGUAUGUCUUUCCUUGAUAAAACGUUUAGAAAUAAAAGACGUGAUAUGACACAAUGUUGACAAUUCAUCACUCUAUCUUUCGUUGAUUGUGUUUCUAUAGGAUCUAGGCUAUAGCCAUAUGCAUUAUGUUUGUUAACUGUCUAAAUCCAUAUCCUUCGUAUGCACAGGUAUCACUGAUGAAGAAACUACGCCAUCCAAAUAUUAUACUCUUCAUGGGUGCAGUUGCAUCUCCAGAACGACUUUGUAUAGUUACGGAAUUUCUUCCACGGUGCGUUGUAAUCUCUUCCAACUAGAAGUGUCAGAACACCAAGUUAAAACUCAAGAACCAUGUGCAUAUUCUUCUGUGUUACUCUUCUGUUGGUCUAAUAGGAGUAACUUGUCUUGUUCGAUUUAGAUAUACAGCUUUCUUCAAAAAAAAAAAAAUUCAACUAGGGGGAGAGACGUCCACCCUAGCAUUAAUAUAUAGAAGGUGAGAAUCAAACCCUUGUUGGCUCACAACCACGCCCGGUACCCAAUGUGGGCUACAGCAAUGUCUGCACUGAGGAGAUUUUAGUGGCCAACGUCAAGUUGUGAAAUUUUAAUGGUAAUCACCUGGUUUUCUGAACUGGGCUGGGAUUCUAAGGACAUAUUCUGUUUAAUAAUUUCUGGUGUAAAGUUUCACACAUGUCACCUAGAAAAUAAAUGGAGAUACCAAACCAUAGAGUAUCUACCAAUGAUGACAGAAAUGGUUUGUCAAUCUGACGCUUCCAAUGUCCCUCACUUCAACUUAACAUGGUUCCAUAUAAAGAGGAUUAGUCUGCAGCAAUCAACUAUCCUAACUUCAAUCAUAGACCAAUGGGCCAUAAACCUUGAUCUACUGUAAGACCCUUGGCUUACAUUGCCAUUAUUCUACUGCCCGUGGAUUUAGAGGACCUGAUCAUUAGGGAAAUCCUUAAUUUAAACGAUUUAUUUAUGCACAAACAAAAAAAGAAAUAAAAUAUGGGCCCAAUACACUAGUAUUUUCAUUGUUCUUUGCACAUUAGGAAGAAUAUAUGGGUUUCAGUCAGUUACUUUGAUUCGUUCUUUUCAGAAGAUUGAUUCUGGUAAUUCAGUAAAAGUUUACCAGAACAAUCUUUUUCAGUGUUAGAUCACUACUCUUAAGCUGUCAUUAUUAUUCGUACACCACUUUCAUGAUAGCUGCUAAGUGUCCAAUGUUAUUUUUGCACUAACUGAACUAGCUUUUACGGUAUUAUGAAAAUGAGUUUUAACAAGCUUUUACAGUUGUUUACAAGCACAAAAGAGCCCUAAGCUUUACUGUCUCUGUGUCGCAGAGGGAGUCUGUUCCGCUUACUUCAAAAGAACACCGGAAAGCUGGACCCAAGACGUCGAGUUCACAUGGCUAUAGAUAUUGUGAGUGCCUUUUAUCUUUCCAGAAAUUUCUGGGAAAUUGCAGGUCGAUAAAACACUGCAAUUUUUGGCAUUAACACGUUGAAUUAACGGAGAAAUAGAUAAACAUUCCUUGGUUGUGCAUAUCCAGAAGCAUAACUAAUAAACAGAGAAGCAUUACAAUAUCAUUAAUUGUUGAAAAGCAUGUAGCAGAGUAUCUAACUUGUACUUAAACUUGCUACAUCAGUUAGCUUCAGUGUAUGAAAGCAUGUAACAUGGUAUAUAGUGUUGUGUUUAACACUGUGCUAAGCAAUUUUCAAAAGCUAGUCACUCAAUUAAAGUGAUUUUUAUGUGAAAUAUUGUUGGUCCAAGUUCAACCUAUUUUUGAUCCAUGCUUACAGGGUCUCUGAUCCGCUGGAUACAAAAAAUGAGUAAUAUUCUUGGCUGGAUACAAGAUUAUGUUGCCAUGUUGGUUUUAAAAAACCUUGUUUCUAUUUUUUGCAGGCAAGGGGCAUGAAUUAUCUUCACCACUGUAGCCCUCCUAUUGUUCACCGCGACUUAAAAUCGUCAAAUUUGUUGGUUGACAAGAACUGGACUGUAAAGGUAACACUGGAAUUCAAUUUCUCCAAUCACUGUGUUUUCUGUUCUCAUUUAUGUUGUUCAAUCAGGUUGCAGACUUUGGUCUUUCUCGUCUGAAGCUCGAAACAUUUUUGCGAACAAAAACUGGGAAAGGAACGGUAAGCACGAACGAAAUUUACUUGAUGAAUAUGGUAGAUACUCUCCAGAAGAGUGAGAUUAUCAUAAACAUAGAUGCACAACCUUUUCUGCCUAUCCACUAAAAAUCUGAUAAUUACCUUUUGUAUACAGCCACAAUGGAUGGCUCCGGAGGUGUUACGUAAUGAACCUUCAGAUGAAAAGUAUGUUCAAUAAAGACAUUAUUGCAGAUGGAUGUUCCUCCUAUCCAUUCUAGGAUUGAUUGUUUCUGACCUUUUUGUUCUUGUUAAAUUAGGUCUGAUGUAUACAGUUACGGCGUUGUUCUGUGGGAACUUGUUACACAGAAGAUACCCUGGGAUAAUCUCAAUACGAUGCAGGUGCAUUUUUUUCUAUGCGUUUUUCUAUUCGUCUUUUUAUCAUGCAUGGGAUAAUCUCAAUACAAUGCAGGUGCAUUUUUGCUAUGUUUUUUUCUAUUCGUCUUUUAAUCAUGCAUACACCUACUUUCUAUCAUAUUGUUUGGUGCAUUUUCUCUUAACUGGGUAGAAUCAGGCAGUCAAUUUUAUUGGGGGAGAACAGCCAGCAGUUACAAAUUUUACUGGGUAUAAAUAGUUACAAAUAAAAAAUUUAAUGUUGUUUGCUUCUUAUCAGCACUAUCCUUUAUGUCCGACUGCAAGAUCAACACCCACUUGCUCUUAUCAGCGCAUGGUUUUGUGUACGAUUAUUCAACUAUGAUUUCUAAGGAAAUCUUUUUAAUAGUUUUGUCUUGAGUUUACACAGCCUUGUGCUUGCUCAUACAAGCAAAUUUGACCCCCCAUGCUGCAGGUUAUUGGAGCUGUCGGUUUCAUGGAUCAGAGGUUGGACAUUCCAAGCGAUACAGAUCCUCAGUGGGCAUCAAUGAUCGAGAGUUGUUGGGAUAGGUAUGCAUAUGAUUAGUGUGCAACUAAAUUAAGUCUCUUCUUCGAGAAAAUUGUAAUUUUAUUCUGAUAAAUAGUGAAAGAUGCAGUCCCUCUCACAAGUGUCCUUUCUUUGAGCAGCGACCCACGGAAGCGCCCUUCAUUCCUAGAGCUCCUAGACAGGCUUAGGGAUCUGCAGAAGCAGUACAGCCUGCAGGCUCAGAUGCAACGCGCGUCUGCGGAUGCUCUGCUGAAAGGUGGUGCAAAGAUGAGAGCUGAAGAUUGCUAGCUCCAAAUCGAAUGGCACAUGGCAGUGGACAUUGUCGACAACCACAGAGCAAACAUGGUGGUUCAUUCAUUAACAGCGUAGCACGCCAAUCUGGAAGGCAAGCUUCGUGCAUCUUCCUCGGCCGCUCCUGGAAGAGGGGCUAAGCUCAGAGUUGGAGGUUGCACCAGGAAAGUGGUGCAUCCCUUCCCCGGUCUCAAGGCCUGAAGUUUCAAAAUGUAGAAAUCUUGGGCCAAGGCCACACUGCGGCUGAAAUGAGAAUGGCAGUGGUUUGUGGCACUGUUUUUUGUAUUACGCCCAAUUCGUCAAGGCAAAAAAAUAGGGAGUUAUUCAUAAGUUGGAUAGUCGGUUUUGAUAACAUUGUUGUGUGCAUAACCUAUAAAUAUAAUAAUAAAAAUAGCAAACUAACCUAAAUCAACGAGUUUGUCCUGUCAAAUAGCCCAAACAACUAGAAAAUAGAACAAAGCCAGGGAACUGUUCUGAGAUUUUUUUUAUUUUGAAAGCAUGGAUGUGUUGCGAGUAGGAUGGAGAAGAGAUAAUGCAACUGUUUAAACGUGAAUACUGAAUACGGAUGCUUGGCUUCUUCACACAAAUCCGUAAAUGAAUUCCAACUGGACCCUAUGCAAAUUUCACCAAAGGUACGGAUGUGACAUCAGGUGAUUAGGUGAAUAGAGAAUGGUCCUAACUCCUGAACUAAUAAAAUUGGAACUGAAUAAAAAGUAUUACUAAGUAUACAAAAUUAUCAGUUUAGACUUUAGAAUAUACCUGAAACUUAAAUAAAUCACGGACAAUAUUUUUUAGAUAAAGGGUAAAAUCCGGCUUAUUAUAUCCACUUACAAAAGUUCUUAGACUCUAAUUAAAAAAAAAGAGGAGCCAGUGGCAAGGAGCCGACGAGGAGGCUGGAGCCUAAAGGCGGGACGACGACGUCUGGGUCAACGAGCUCCGUCACCGGUCCUCCGCUAGAUCGGUGAGGACGACUUCGCCAGUUCGCCUUCGACCCCCGAGUCCCGUCCCCAACCGUGCUGCUCCUUAUUCAGCGUCUGCGGCGGUCGUCCCCUCUCCAUCCAUCAGCGGCGGCGGCCCAGGUGUGAGCCCACUCCCUCCUCUCGAAUCCUCCUCCAGCGAUCCAAUACGAAUCAGGUGCAUACGGAGCACUGCGGGCCGGAUCACCACAUCACCGUCAGGCUGGCGGCCGAGUUCACUGUCAGGUGCCCACGCGGGAUCACCAACAGGCCGGCGGAGCAUGACGCGAUCCAACAGGCUAACUACACGCGCGCUGGCGUGAUUAGUUUCUUCUCACCGUCGGCGAAUACUCCCUUCAGACCAUGUUCUUUGCGACGCCCUGGCCAUCAUUCUCCCGGACUGGAUGCGCAUGGACUGCGUCGUCAAGUCCUGGAUUUACGGCACGGUCUCCCCCUGUAACACCCAAAAUUUUGAAUAAUUCAAAUUAAUUAAAAUAUGCUCAAAUUAGGGUGUUAUUUAAUUUCUAGGCAUUUGAUUUCAUUUUCCUUAAUUCAAUUAAUUCAUCAUAGGAAUUAUUUGUGCAUUCAUGCUGGUGCAUUAAUUUUGAUUGCUUGAGUUUGAUUUAAAUUUUGAAAUUUCAAAUUUAAAUUCAAAUUCCAAACCAUUUUCUCUUUCUCUUUCUUUUUCUUCUUCUUCUUCUUUCCCUGGGCCGAAACUUCCCUCUCCUCCCUUCUUUUCUUUCCUUUCGGCCCGGCCGCAUCUCCUCACCGGCCCGCGACGCAGCUCGCCGGCCUCCUCCUUUUUCUCCCCUGCCGGCCUGCUCCACCAGCCGCUCGGCCCGUCGCUCCUUCCACGGUCCAGGACCCCACUCCACCUUCUCUCGCUCGGCCGCGUCGCCGCUUCCUCUGCCGCGGCCCACGCGCGCGUGCCGGCCCGCGUAGCCGCCCCGGCCUGCCGCUCACCCGACGCCGCGCAGCCCGCGAACGCGCGCCGGCCCACGAAGUCGCGCCGGCCCGCCACCCGCCUUCUCCUUCCUCCGGCCGGACUCCGCUCCGACUCCGCAACGGCCGCCGCCGGAUCCGCAGCCGUCCGCCUCCGCUCCGACUCCUUCGGGGGAGUUUAAACCCGCGCCGCUCUAUCCCCUAGCGCCUAUAAAAGCCGCCGCCCCCUCCCGGUCUCCUCCGCCCAAACGCCAGCGCCGCAGCUCACCCGAACCCUAGCCGCCACGAGCUCCAGCGCCGCCGCCUCUUCCCCGCCGUCGAUCGCCGCCGUCGGUGAGCUCCGGUCGACGAGAACCCCCAAAACGGGAUCGCCGCACCCUCCUCUCUCUUCUGGUGCAACCCGCGCUUCAAAUGGUGCCCCGGAGCGCCGUUUCGGCCAACUCCGGCGACCCGCCGCCGCUCGCCGUCGCACGCCGCCGCUCCCCGCCGCCGCCGCUCUGUUUCCCCGCCGCCGUCGCGAGUCGUGGACGACCGUGGCCGUCCGAUCUCGAUCCGACGGUCGGACGCGAGUCAAUCAAGAUCGCGUACCGGUCAACCGAGCCGCGCCGCGCCGCUUUUGCACUUGAGCCCCUGUCUUUUUCGCAAAUCAACCCGCGGUCCAGAUCGCGUUGAAAAUAAUUCCAGAUCUGCCCUCGCAUCUUUCGGUUUAGCCCUUGAACUUUCCAGAAAUCAACCCGCCGUCCGGGUUUGUUGUUUUUACGCGUCAGACCCUCGGUUUAUACGCAUAAUUAUGUAUAAGCCCUCGGUUUUCGCGAAUAGGCCCUGAAAGUUUUGUUUUUCUCACAGAAAAGUCCCUGGAUCUUGUUUUAAUCAUAUCUUUUGCAUCUUAACUCCGUUUUUCGCAUUCUUUAUAUCCACGUGUUCGUUUUAAAGCGUAGAUCAUCCUUUCAAGCUUGUUUUCUCUGUUUGACUAUGUUUGGUGUACUGUUUUCUUACUUUUUGCCCAUGUUUGCUUGUAUGUGCUCGUGUGACGCGUGUAGACGCCCCGCAGUUCGAGGGAGUUGCCGAUCAAGCCUUCGAGGAGUACGAACAGCAGGAGCAAGGCCAAGAAGGCAAGUCGUGUCCUUGAUCACUAUCUUGUUGUCCUAUACACCUUUACUUUCUCGUACUCAACAUUACGCUAUGCACAUAUUAAUAUUAAGUUGAUGGGUCCCAAUUAAGGUUCGCCUAGAUUGAUUUACCUUUGCCUUGACCAACCGGUUUACUUUAUGUUGGGUAGCUCAUGCUUAGUGCUUACUUGGUACAUGGUGGUUUAACUACACGCAAUGCUUAAUCUUGAUUUACUUCUGUUAUACCUUUCAUUAAGACAAGAUCAUUAUUUGUUAAUCGGAACAUGGAGAACCACCCAGGAAAACAGUGCUACCACAAGACUAAAUGGCUCUGGUCUUGGCUGAUUAAUUAGAAACUCUAGCUUGGGGUUACCUUACCGGAAGGGCAAGAGGGGAGGCGUUGAUGGGAUAUAGCACUCACUCUCUUGGGAAGUGGGCUUGGCUAAGACACUAUGCCCUCUAGGGGACUGCUAUGUUUCGCUUCGACCUGAAACCUUAGCGGGUUACCACAAUGCUAGCGAAUCUUUGUAAAGGCCUCGUAGCGUCCCUAUGCAAUCACACCUCGGAAGUGUGGUAUGGUGCCUAGCUAGCAUCGCAUGGUUGGGUCCAAAGUUCUUUUGAGCUUUUACGCGACUUGUGGGUAAAGAUGUGCCACCUCUGCAGAGUGUUAAACUGAUCGAUCAGCCGUGCUCACGGUUAAGAGCGGCCUGGACCCUCACAUGAUAAUAUUAUCGGAAGAUGGACUUAAUUUGUUAUCAUUUCAUGCAUUUGUUGCUUACUUUAUGUUCAUGUCUAAUUUCGGGUGGUAUAAACUUAUACUUAGUUAAUUGCUAAUAAGACUUGACCAACUUAAUUAAAAGCGAAUGCUAAUUAUGCCUUAGCCAUACCUUGAAUUAGCCUUACACUACACUAUUCCCCGCGACUUGUUGAGUACCAACCAUAAGUGUACUCACCCUUGCAAAACCGCUGUUCAGACCAAGUCAAUUGGGAAGAGGAGUACUUCCACGACUUCGAGGAGUUCUAGGCGUACGUUUCUUCAGUCAGCUGCCUGUGGAGUCGUCGUCAUCUUUGGAGUUCCGCUGCGUAAUAAUUAGACUUUGUGGUUUAUGUGAGACUUUCGGUCAUGUAAUAAUGGUUAAUACUCUCUUUAUUCGAUUUAGCACUGUCUUUGCUAUUCACUAUUGUCGUACAUGUGCGUAACUUGAUCCUGGCGCACAUGUAUUUAAUGCACUCGAUUUUGUCCUUAAAAUCGGGUGUGACAAAAGUGGUAUCAGAGCCGUGUUGACUGUAGGACGUUAGCCUAGUUAGAAAAUGGUCGUAUUUAAGGAUUAUAAUAAUCUAGUAGCCAUUCGCACCUUUCUUAAUUUAAAUCUACUUAAUUAUUGUUAAACUUGGUUUGUCUCAUCCUUAUUGCUAUUUUAUUAUCUAGCUUUGUUCAAAAUUUUAUUCUAAAAAAAAAAAAUUUCUUCUUUCUUUCUGUUAGAUGGCUCGCACCCGGUUGACCGCACGCAAGAGCACCCGUCCGCCGCGUCAUGGCAUCGCGCCGUCGCACGCCCCCGUGGAUCCUUGGGACGAGGAAGAAGAGGAAGAGAUCUUCCAGCAUCCGGGGGAUGACUCUGACGAGGACGCCAUGACCAUGGAGCAGGAGACCACGCCGUCACCAGCACCGUCGCCAGCACCGGCGCCCGCUCCUGCACCAGCCCCGACGCCCGUACCGGUCGUCGACUUGACGGAUGAUGAGCCUGAAGCAGAUCCCGAGCCUGAGACAUGGAUCAAAUGGGUGAAGGAAGAUUAUGGCCAAGGAGUGCACAUGGCCGACAUACUCAGGUGGACUUGUCACCGCUUGGGGUACGGCAUGAGGCCACUCUACAAGUGCUCUCGGUUCACCCACCCUCGCUAUCCCACUUUUUGGGAGGUGAAGGUUGUCCUUCGUGAGGAGCACGAAGGAGGAUGGGAGGUGAAGGCUAUUCACCAUGAUGUGACCGUAAGGAGGACCAUGGAAUCCGGCAUUGCCGAGGCCGCCAGGAGGGCACUUGAGGUCGUCUCCCACAAGGAACGGCCGCGACUGCAGCACACUUACCAUCGGUUCCUUCCUUACCGAGCUAGUGGGGAAGCAAGAACCUUCAUCGCUACUAAUGACGGGGUUGACAUGGCUACAGACUUCCUCCGCAAAUACACGUCGGCAGCUCUCACCGCACUGAAUGAAGCAAACAACCACAUCCAGGAGCUUCAGCAGGAGGUUCAGGAACUCCGGUGGGAGAGGGAUGCAAAUAUGGCUGCCGCGACGGGAGCACCGCCGCCGCAGGAGUUUGCUGUUCAUCCCGCUUCGUCGCCGUCGCCUAAGCGUCCCCGCUACGACUCGCCCGGCGCCGCAGUAGAAGACCUCUAGGAAAUUAGGAGUGUCUUAGUUUAAAUUCUUGUAAUCGUUAGACGUCGUUCGAGUGUGUUAGUUAAAGUGUGCUUAGCUGUUUGGUUUUGUGCUACAUGUUUGAGUUGGAUUUUGUAAUGAGUGCGGUAUGUGGGGCAAUUGCCACACGAUACUGGUCUUAAUAAAUAAAGUGCUUAGUUGGGUUUUAUUUCUGUUCUAAAUCAGUAUUUAAUCUUCCUUAAUCAUGAUCUACCAUCUGUCUAAAUCUAUCUAUCAUGCAAGCUAAGCGACAUACAAUUCUGUUCUCGACAUUAUCUGACACGCCAGUACUGUUUUAUUUAUAACUCGAGCUACGGAAGUCCAAAUGACAUGAAACCAGUGGGGUUAGUUUCAUAACUUCGUGGAGUAAUUUCUGUAAAAUUAUCAGAAUUUUUGGAUUAUCUGUCUGGGAGAUGUAUGCAAAAUAGUAAAGCACUCAGAAUCUGAAACUGUCGACAGACACUGUCAGCUUGUUAAUUUGGUAACUCGAGAUCCAGAAGUCCGAUUGAGAUGAUUCCAGUAGGGUUGGUUUACAAAUUUAAUAAGUUACGACUUGGUAAUUUUUCAGAAUUUAUGGACACUUCUUCUGACGGCCACACCUAAUUAAAUGGAGCUAACGGAAUCUGUUUUACUUUUACAUCUGGUCGCUUUAUCUUUCUUAGUUAUUCUUUCACACAUCUAUCUAAAUCGAUUGUCUCUAACGCUCAGAUGGUAAACACCAGGUCCGGAUCAGGAGUUGACCGUCCCGCAGUGCCUCGCCUCAGGGACAACAGCAGCAAUCUCAACACCGCUCCGCAACAGAACCAGCAAGCACCUGCAGGGAUGGAGCAGUUUCUAGUAGCUCAGACUCAGCUUCUCGCCGGGCUGACCAACACCGUGGCAGCUUUACAAGCUCAGCUGAAUAAUAAUAACAACAACAACAACAACCAGCCGCAGCCGCCACCAAGGGACAGGCACAGGGAGUUCAUGAGCCACAAGCCCCCGACGUUUUCACAUUCUCCGGAUCCGUUAGAUGCUGAUGAUUGGCUGAAAACAGUGGAGAAGAUGCUGAAUAUCGCCCAGUGUAAUGACAGGGAGAAGGUCCUGUAUGCUUCAGGACGCCUGGAAGGGCCAGCUGCCGAUUGGUGGGAUGCUUACACCGCCGCACAUGCCAAUGCUAAUGGCAUUACCUGGGAUGAAUUCCGGACUAGCUUCAGAAGUCAUCAUAUUCCUUCGGGGUUAAUGAAGCUUAAAAAGAAGGAGUUCCUUGCUCUUAAGCAGGGGAACAUGACAGUGGCAGAGUACAGGGACAAGUUUGUCCAGUUGUCCCGAUAUGCUCCCGAGGACGUUGCUGAUGAUGAGCAGAAGCAGGAGCUGUUCUUGGAUGGGUUGAUUGGACCGCUCCAAUACCAGCUUAUGUCGCACACCUUCCCCAGUUUCCAGAAGAUGCUAGACAAGGCAAUUGGCCUGGAACACAAGAGGAACGAGCUCGGGGAGAUGAAGAGGAAAUUUAAUUCCCAGUCGUCUUCAGGAAGCAACACUCGCCCUCGCUUUGCUCCACAGCAAGGGACGCCGUUCCGCGCAGGGGGUCCGAGUGGGAAUUAUGGGCAGCAGUCAUUCCAGCGCCCCGCUCAGCAGUCAUUCCAGCGCCCCAGCCCGCAGUUCCAGCGUCCAGGGAUGCAGACUAUGCAGACUCCGCGCCCUAGCUUUCCGCAGAGCCGCCAGAUGACUCCUGCAGGCGCUCCAGUGAGGCCUAAUGCUCCUGGGGGUAACACUUGCUACAAGUGUGGUGAAGUUGGCCACUAUGCCAACGCUUGUCCCAAGAGGAGUGUGCCUUCUACCCCUGUGCAGAAUAACAACACCCCUCGGCAGAACCCGCAGGCGCAGCAGUCGAGGAACGUGAACCAGACCCCGCAGCGCGCGCAAGGACAGCAGAACUUUGUGCGUGGCAAGAUAAACCACGUGGAUGUGGAUACCGCUCAGGAGGCCCCAGACGUUGUGCUCGGUAUGUUUCUUGUCAACUCAGCACCCGCCUCAGUAUUAUUUGAUUCUGGAGCAUCCCAUUCUUUCAUUACUGCACAGUACGUAGCUAAGCAUAACAUACCCAUAAGUACCAUGCCACGCCACAUGCUAGUCAGUUCACCAGGGGGAAACAUGAAAGCAUCAUAUCGAUGUAACCAAGUGAACCUCAAGAUAAUCGGCAGAGAUUUCCCGGCUAACCUUAUAGUAUUGGAAUCAAGUGGAAUUGAUGUGAUACUCGGAAUGGGAUGGUUGAGCAAGUUCGAUGCAGUGAUACAGUGUGCAAAAAGGUCGGUUCUUCUCACAAGCCCAGCAGGGGAAAGGAUUGAAUUUGUGGCUACUAUACCUUCAGCAGCAGAUUGUGCAGUUAAUCAGUUGGCUGGAAAAUCCUUGGAAGAUAUCAAAGUGGUGUGUGACUACCCGGAUGUGUUCCCCGACGAUUUACCAGGUAUGCCACCUGACCGCGACAUUGAAUUUGCUAUUGAUCUUUUACCUGGUACUGCACCUAUCUCCAAACGUCCUUAUAGAAUGUCGGUUGAACAAUUAAAAGAAUUGAAACAACAACUAGAGGAAUUAUCAGCAAAACAGUUUAUUCGGCCUAGUUCAUCACCAUGGGGAGCACCGGUUAUCUUUGUGCCGAAGAAGGACGGUACUCAGAGGAUGUGUGUGGAUUAUCGAGCACUAAACGAGGUGACCGUCAAGAACAAGUACCCAUUGCCUCGCAUUGAGGAUUUGUUCGAUCAGAUGAGAGGAGCCAAGGUAUUCUCCAAGAUUGAUUUGCGAUCGGGAUAUCAUCAGAUGAAGAUCAGGCCGUCUGACAUACCCAAGACCGCUUUUACUUCCAGAUAUGGUCUCUUCGAGUACACGGUAAUGUCGUUCGGGUUGACCAAUGCUCCAGCUUACUUCAUGUAUCUGAUGAAUAAGGUGUUUAUGGAGUACCUGGAUAAGUUCGUUGUGGUGUUCAUUGAUGACAUCAUGAUUUACUCCAAGAGUGAGGAAGAACAUGAGGAACACUUGAGGUUAGUGCUUCAGAAAUUGAGGGAACAUCAGUUGUAUGCUAAAUUCAGCAAGUGUGAGUUCUGGAUAAAGGAAGUCUCUUUCCUUGGUCAUAUCAUCUCCGAUGGUGGAAUUUCAGUGGAUCCAGGCAAGGUUAGGGAUGUCUUGAAGUGGAAUCCGCCGCAGACAGUAACUGAGAUCAGGAGUUUUCUCGGACUUGCAGGCUAUUACCGUAGAUUCAUUGAAGGAUUCUCCAAGAUAGUAAAGCCCCUCACUACGCUACUAGAAAAAGGAAGGGAAUUCAAAUGGACAGAGGCAUGUCAGGCAAGUUUUGAGGAACUGAAGAAGAGGUUGACCACAGCUCCAGUAUUGGUAAUGCCAGAUCUACAUAAGGGGUUCGACAUAUAUUGUGAUGCAUCUCGACAGGGUUUAGGCUGUGUUCUGAUGCAGGAAGGUCAUGUGAUCGCCUAUGCUUCCAGGCAAUUGAGGAAACAUGAGCAGAAUUACCCGACUCAUGAUUUGGAGUUAGCCGCAGUGGUUCAUGCCUUGAAGAUUUGGAGACACUACAUUCUGGGGACUAAGUGUCAGAUCUAUACUGAUCACAAGAGUCUCAAGUAUAUCUUCACUCAGAAGGACCUUAAUCUGAGACAGCGACGAUGGUUAGAGCUGAUCAAUGACUAUGAUCUGGAGAUUCACUAUCAUCCGGGUAAGGCUAAUCUGGUUGCAGACGCUUUGAGUCGGAAGGGUCAUGUUAACUUAGCCUUAGCAUUCCAGCUACCUGACGAGUUGAUGAAAGAAUUUGAGAGGCUCAAUUUGAGUGUUAUUGCACAUACUGAGGGAGCAACGAUGGAAGUGGAGUCGACUCUAGAGCAAGAGAUACGGGAAGGACAGCUUGAGGAUGCCAAGGUCAGGGAAACUAAGGAGAUGGUAAAGGAAGGAAGAGCCACUGACUUCACGGAAGACUCUCAGGGAACCUUAUGGGUCAAAGGAAGGAUUUGGGUACCCGAUGUGGGAAAUCUCCGAGAGACGAUCUUGAAAGAAGCUCACGAUUCUGCUUAUUCUAUCCACCCCGGCAGUACUAAGAUGUAUCAAGAUCUUAAGUAGAAGUACUGGUGGCCCGGAAUGAAGAAAGAUGUAGCUGCACAUGUAGCCAUUUGCGACAUAUGUCAAAAAGUCAAGGCUGAACAUCAGAGGCCAGCUGGGUUACUUCAGCCAUUGAAGGUGCCGGAAUGGAAGUGGGAAGAAAUUGGGAUGGAUUUCAUUGUGGGUUUGCCUCGCACCCGAGAUGGGUAUGACUCUAUAUGGGUCAUCGUGGAUCGAUUGACCAAAGUAGCUCACUUCAUACCGGUAAGGACUACUUACACCGGAUCCAAGCUAGCAGAGUUGUAUAUGGCAAGGAUUGUGUGUUUACAUGGUGUGCCUAAGAAGAUUGUGUUUGACCGAGGUACUCAGUUCACGUCACGCUUCUGGCAGAAAUUGCAUGAAUCUCUAGGCACAAAGUUGAAUUUCAGUUCCGCCUGCCACCCUCAGACAGAUGGGCAGACCGAGAGGACAAAUCAAAUAUUGGAGGAUAUGUUAAGAGCAUGUGCACUGAAGCAUGGAGGUAGUUGGGACAAGAGUUUACCUUAUGCAGAGUUCUCCUAUAAUAACAGUUAUCAAGCCAGUCUCAAAAUGUCACCAUUUGAGGCUUUGUAUGGUAGAAAGUGCCGAACACCCCUUUAUUGGAGUGAAACAGGAGAGAGUCAGCUAUUCGGGCCAGAAAUUAUACAAGAGGCAAAAAAACAGGUCCAGAUCAUCCGAGAAAACUUGAGGACUGCUCAGUCUCGACAGAAGAGUUAUGCUGACACCAGGAGAAGAGAAUUGACCUUUGAUGUAGGUGAUUAUGUGUAUCUCAAGGUAUCGCCCAUCAGGGGUAUGCGCAGAUUCAAGGUCAAAGGGAAGCUAUCACCUCGAUUCAUCGGUCCGUUCAAGAUUCUUGAGCGAGUGGGACAAGUAGCCUAUCGAUUGGAGUUGCCUAACCAGUUGUCGGAUGUACACGAUGUGUUCCAUAUCUCACAGCUUAAGAAGUGCCUCAGAGUUCCCGAGGAACAGUUGCCAAUGGAGGAAUUGAAUGUUCAGGAUGAUCUUACUUACACGGAAUACCCCAUUAAGAUUUUGGAUACUUUGGAAAGGGUUACAAGGAACCGGACGAUCAGAAUGUGCAAGGUUCAGUGGAGUCACCAUACAGAGGACGAGGCAACUUGGGAAAGAGAGGACGAGUUACAGAAGGAAUUUCCCCAUCUCUUUGCAGGAUCUUCCGAAUCUCGAGGACGAGAUUCUUCUUAAGGGGGGUAGGAUUUGUAACACCCAAAAUUUUGAAUAAUUCAAAUUAAUUAAAAUAUGCUCAAAUUAGGGUGUUAUUUAAUUUCUAGGCAUUUGAUUUCAUUUUCCUUAAUUCAAUUAAUUCAUCAUAGGAAUUAUUUGUGCAUUCAUGCUGGUGCAUUAAUUUUGAUUGCUUGAGUUUGAUUUAAAUUUUGAAAUUUCAAAUUUAAAUUCAAAUUCCAAACCAUUUUCUCUUUCUCUUUCUUUUUCUUCUUCUUCUUCUUUCCCUGGGCCGAAACUUCCCUCUCCUCCCUUCUUUUCUUUCCUUUCGGCCCGGCCGCAUCUCCUCACCGGCCCGCGACGCAGCUCGCCGGCCUCCUCCUUUUUCUCCCCUGCCGGCCUGCUCCACCAGCCGCUCGGCCCGUCGCUCCUUCCACGGUCCAGGACCCCGCUCCACCUUCUCUCGCUCGGCCGCGUCGCCGCUUCCUCUGCCGCGGCCCACGCGCGCGUGCCGGCCCGCGUAGCCGCCCCGGCCUGCCGCUCACCCGACGCCGCGCAGCCCGCGAACGCGCGCCGGCCCACGAAGUCGCGCCGGCCCGCCACCCGCCUUCUCCUUCCUCCGGCCGGACUCCGCUCCGACUCCGCAACGGCCGCCGCCGGAUCCGCAGCCGUCCGCCUCCGCUCCGACUCCUUCGGGGGAGUUUAAACCCGCGCCGCUCUAUCCCCUAGCGCCUAUAAAAGCCGCCGCCCCCUCCCGGUCUCCUCCGCCCAAACGCCAGCGCCGCAGCUCACCCGAACCCUAGCCGCCACGAGCUCCAGCGCCGCCGCCUCUUCCCCGCCGUCGAUCGCCGCCGUCGGUGAGCUCCGGUCGACGAGAACCCCCAAAACGGGAUCGCCGCACCCUCCUCUCUCUUCUGGUGCAACCCGCGCUUCAAAUGGUGCCCCGGAGCGCCGUUUCGGCCAACUCCGGCGACCCGCCGCCGCUCGCCGUCGCACGCCGCCGCUCCCCGCCGCCGCCGCUCUGUUUCCCCGCCGCCGUCGCGAGUCGUGGACGACCGUGGCCGUCCGAUCUCGAUCCGACGGUCGGACGCGAGUCAAUCAAGAUCGCGUACCGGUCAACCGAGCCGCGCCGCGCCGCUUUUGCACUUGAGCCCCUGUCUUUUUCGCAAAUCAACCCGCGGUCCAGAUCGCGUUGAAAAUAAUUCCAGAUCUGCCCUCGCAUCUUUCGGUUUAGCCCUUGAACUUUCCAGAAAUCAACCCGCCGUCCGGGUUUGUUGUUUUUACGCGUCAGACCCUCGGUUUAUACGCAUAAUUAUGUAUAAGCCCUCGGUUUUCGCGAAUAGGCCCUGAAAGUUUUGUUUUUCUCACAGAAAAGUCCCUGGAUCUUGUUUUAAUCAUAUCUUUUGCAUCUUAACUCCGUUUUUCGCAUUCUUUAUAUCCACGUGUUCGUUUUAAAGCGUAGAUCAUCCUUUCAAGCUUGUUUUCUCUGUUUGACUAUGUUUGGUGUACUGUUUUCUUACUUUUUGCCCAUGUUUGCUUGUAUGUGCUCGUGUGACGCGUGUAGACGCCCCGCAGUUCGAGGGAGUUGCCGAUCAAGCCUUCGAGGAGUACGAACAGCAGGAGCAAGGCCAAGAAGGCAAGUCGUGUCCUUGAUCACUAUCUUGUUGUCCUAUACACCUUUACUUUCUCGUACUCAACAUUACGCUAUGCACAUAUUAAUAUUAAGUUGAUGGGUCCCAAUUAAGGUUCGCCUAGAUUGAUUUACCUUUGCCUUGACCAACCGGUUUACUUUAUGUUGGGUAGCUCAUGCUUAGUGCUUACUUGGUACAUGGUGGUUUAACUACACGCAAUGCUUAAUCUUGAUUUACUUCUGUUAUACCUUUCAUUAAGACAAGAUCAUUAUUUGUUAAUCGGAACAUGGAGAACCACCCAGGAAAACAGUGCUACCACAAGACUAAAUGGCUCUGGUCUUGGCUGAUUAAUUAGAAACUCUAGCUUGGGGUUACCUUACCGGAAGGGCAAGAGGGGAGGCGUUGAUGGGAUAUAGCACUCGCUCUCUUGGGAAGUGGGCUUGGCUAAGACACUAUGCCCUCUAGGGGACUGCUAUGUUUCGCUUCGACCUGAAACCUUAGCGGGUUACCACAAUGCUAGCGAAUCUUUGUAAAGGCCUCGUAGCGUCCCUAUGCAAUCACACCUCGGAAGUGUGGUAUGGUGCCUAGCUAGCAUCGCAUGGUUGGGUCCAAAGUUCUUUUGAGCUUUUACGCGACUUGUGGGUAAAGAUGUGCCACCUCUGCAGAGUGUUAAACUGAUCGAUCAGCCGUGCUCACGGUUAAGAGCGGCCUGGACCCUCACAUGAUAAUAUUAUCGGAAGAUGGACUUAAUUUGUUAUCAUUUCAUGCAUUUGUUGCUUACUUUAUGUUCAUGUCUAAUUUCGGGUGGUAUAAACUUAUACUUAGUUAAUUGCUAAUAAGACUUGACCAACUUAAUUAAAAGUGAAUGCUAAUUAUGCCUUAGCCAUACCUUGAAUUAGCCUUACACUACACUAUUCCCCGCGACUUGUUGAGUACCAACCAUAAGUGUACUCACCCUUGCAAAACCGCUGUUCAGACCAAGUCAAUUGGGAAGAGGAGUACUUCCACGACUUCGAGGAGUUCUAGGCGUACGUUUCUUCAGUCAGCUGCCUGUGGAGUCGUCGUCAUCUUUGGAGUUCCGCUGCGUAAUAAUUAGACUUUGUGGUUUAUGUGAGACUUUCGGUCAUGAAAUAAUGGUUAAUACUCUCUUUAUUCGAUUUAGCACUGUCUUUGCUAUUCACUAUUGUCGUACAUGUGCGUAACUUGAUCCUGGCGCACAUGUAUUUAAUGCACUCGAUUUUGUCCUUAAAAUCGGGUGUGACACCCCCGACCUUGCCGAGAUCGUGAUGGAACGUGACAAGCCCGCGCUUUCCGCAACUUCAUCCAAGGCGACCUCUCCAUCGCCGACUACUGCCGUCGCUUCAAAAGCAUGGUGGACGCGCUCGGCGACUUGGGCGAGCCAGUCUCCGACCGCACCCUCGUCCUCAACAUCAUCUGCGGCCUCCACGACCGCUUCCUCGACAUCGGGAAGCACAUCCGGCACGGGCGGCCUUUCCCCACCAUCCUGGUCGCCCGCUCCGAACUGCUCGUAGAGGAGCUCACCAUGGCGCUGUGCCGUCCACCGCCCUUCUCACCGGGGCGAAGCCGAGCGCGCCUAGCGAGCAGCGCCUGUCCAUCCCGUCUUCAUCUUCCUUUGGCGGCCCAGGCUCCGGGGGCACCUCCAGCAAGCCCCCAAGGUCCAAGAGCCGCCGCAGCAAGCGCGGCGGCAACGGCGCCCCCGGCGGAUCCCAGACGCCAUCCAGCGGCGCCCCACCCGCCGGCACUUCCAACGGCACCCCCAGCGGAUCCCAGACGCCAUCCAGGAAAAUCAACUAGCCACAUAUAUCAGUUACUUUGAAAACAUGUAACAGUGUAUAUUGUGUUAUACUUCACAUGUUGUGCUAUUCAAUUUUCAUAAGUCAGUAACUCAAUUAAAGUGAUUUUGCUCUGAAAUAUUGUUGGUCCGUCCAAAUUCAUCCUAUUUUUCAUCCAUACUUCUACUGGGCCCACGAACCACUGGAUACAAAAAGGGGAAAAAAACGCCUUGGUAGUUUGUACAGAUGAGUAAUACUUUGGAUGUGUACAAGCUUGUCUCGUCAUGUUGGUUUUAGAACACUUUGUUUCUAUUUUUGCAGGCAAGGGGCAUGAAUUAUCUCACUAUUAUAACCCUCCUAUUGUUCACCGUGAUUUAAAAUCAUCAAUUUUAUUGGCUGGCAAGAACUGAACGGUAAAGGUAACUCUGAAAUUCAGUUUCUCCAAUCACUGUAUUUACCUAGUUAAUUUGCUAUGUUCAAUCAGGUCGCAAACUUUGUUUUUUCACAUCUAAGCCACGAAUGUUUCUAAGAACAGGAAAAUGAACUGUAAGUUUGAACAAGUUUCACUCCUAAAAUACUGAAAUUGUCAUAAACUUUGGUCUAUAACCUUUUUCUGCUUAUUUGCUAAAAAUUUGAUAAUUAGCUUUUGUUUACAGACACAGUUGAUACCAGGUGUUGUGUAAUGAACCUUCAGAGAUGAAAAGUAAGUUCAAUAAAGACAUUAUUGAACAUAGAUGCGCCUCCUAUUCUUAGGAUUUACAGUUACUUGCCCUUUUGUUCUUUAUAAAUAUAUUCUGGUCUUGCGUGUACAGCUAUGGGGGUUACUUUGCUGGAAGUUGUUACUCGGAAGAUACCCUGGGAUAAGGUACAUUUAGCUAUGCGUUUGUUUGUUAUUCUCUUAAGCAUUCGUACAUGGACUUUCUAUCAUAUUGUUUCAUGCAUUUUUCGCAUUACUGGGCAGAAUUGGUCAGCCAGUUUUGUUUGGAAGAACAACCAACUAGGCACAAACAAUGAUAAAUGACCUUUUCUUGUAUAUCUGCACUGACCUAUUGGUCUGCCUGCACAAUCAACCCUCAAGUGCUCUUAUCGGUGCAUAGUUUUGCUUUUUCAGAGUAUAAUUAUUUGGUUAUGAUUUCUAAGAAAAAGGUUCUUUAAUUGUUGUACUCUCUACAGCUCGCAGUUUCUCCAGAUUCUAGGAAAAAUGGCAUUGAGUUAACAGUAUCCUUUUCUCUCACUCUUUCUCUUAGGAAAAUCUGUGGAUACUGAAAACUUCACCUUACGGCUUACCAGGGACAUCCACCCCCACCCUUGCAAUAGUUGAGCUGUGGGUUUCAUUGGGUCAGAGGUACAUUUAAAGCGAUACAUAUCCUCAUGGGCAUCCAGGAUCGAGAGUUGCUGGGAUAGGUAAGCAUACUAUUUUUCGUACGAAACAACUAUGUACUAAUUGUUGAGUUUAUGUUUCAUUCUGGUCAUUGGCAAGGGAUACUGCAUCUCUGUAAGUGCCCUUUCUUUGAGUAGCGACCCACACUCCCACAGGAACGCCCCUUCAUUCCUAGAGCUCCUGGACGUACAGGACUAUGGAUCCACUCUCUAUUAUAUUAUCUUGAAUCUACAUAGAAUCAAUUAGUAGAUUGAAAUAGUAGUCUAAUUCAACUGCUUUUUUUCACUGCAUCCACUUAAUUUCAAUCAAGUCAAAAUCAAAAAAUUCGAAGACAAUUUUUCAUUGAAAGAAUCCAUGGAGGGGGAGAAAAAUAAUACGCGAAUAGACUAUAGUAAAAGAAAAAAAGUAAAAGGAAAAAAUCUACGAAUCUUUCAUGCUUAAAAAUGGCGCGAGAUGUUUCAAUCGAGAUCUUUCAAAAAAAAAGAACAUAAAAUUUUUUCUAAGAAUAAGAAAAUAGUAUAAAUGGAAAAUGUGCGAUAUGUUGUGAAUAGCUUUGUGUAAGAAAGUUUAAUUUUCUUAUGUAUAGAACUUUCUUUUUACUCGCCACUUCUAGUAGAAUAGAAAUUCUAAAUUACUAUAAUUGCCCUUUCUAUUAUACUAGAAUAGAUCCUAUUUGUCAAAUACCUAACGAAAAAUUCCUAUUUUCCUUUCAUUAAGGUACGAGGACUUCUCAUUCCACAAGAAUGAAAGCAUAUUUU